rnacentral:lncRNA from 1 species
ACCCAUCCAUCUAUGGCCCAUCGCCGCCUUCUUUUCUGAAGAUUUUUGAGCCCCCCCCCCCUCCGAGAAGUAACUACGGGGUUGAGAUGAUGACAGGCUGACAGACAGCUUAGCUAGCUUCAUAUAUGUUGCGUCGCAUGUACUAUGAUGUAGGAGACCUCUAUUGUUAGUCCUGUCCUGGUUUAUCUAAAGUUAUUGCCAAAGAUGCUGCUACCAAGUUUCUGCCAUGCAGCAUAGAAUGUGUUUUUCGUAUCCUGACCGUCUUGUGCCGCAGACAUUAGGGAAAUAUUGCCGCCUGGUGCGGUCAUAAUCUGAGGUUGUUUUGCUGCCUGGUCAGGCAUCGUUGGUUCAGACUUCAGAGGCGUUUGGUAACCAAACUACCCCAAGUUUCCUGGUGGUUUAAACUUUCUCCUUUUGGUACAGAAUCCGAUGAUUCUCUCGUGUCGUGGUUCUGUGCAUCAUGUAGUAAUGUGUACGCGGUGUCUCCCCACUUCUCCAAUGUCUGGGUGGUUGCCGUGCAUCAUGUAAUUAUGUGCGGUUUCUCCCCGUCCUGAAACGCAAGUAAGAGCAUCUCCAGCCGUUCGCAACCCCAAGAACACCACCGAACCAAAAAAGUUGGUGUCUUGAGGGUCAUUCGGCGAAAUAAAGAAGACAUCUUCCCAGUCACAUCCCACCCCAAGCAAAAGUUUGUGAGGAGAAUGAUUAAGUGGUCAAAGAAAAGGACAUGUGGUGAGACGAUUCGCCGAAAAUUUCGGCCGGCGCCCCCCGCGCUAUUUUGAGGUCCGGGGGGCGUUGGGCCGUUUUUCGGCGAAAAGCGCCGUCCGCGUCUAAAACUGAGCCUAAAAAGGCGAAAUCACUAAUUAAGAAGUACUCCUUGCGGAGAUUACUCCAACUUCUCUAGGUUGCGACAAGUGGCGCCAACAUGGGAGUUUUUCUUUUUUUUCGUAGAUUCGUUCAUUCAAAAUGUUUUAUCUCUUAAAUCGUGCGUCCAAAUCUCGAACCGCUUUCGCCGUUGGAUUCUUCGCGUCGAGAUUUUCAAAACUAGAUUCCAUGUUGAUAGGUUUUGACAAACUUUUUUUUCACAAAAAAUCGGACGAAAAAAACCGAACCGGGAACACGGGACUUUUUCAUUUUCCGAAAAAGGCACGCCCGUUCCUCUCGCGAAAAAAACCAGAAAACGCUUUUUUUCCUUUUCAAAAGAGGCACGACCGUGCCUCUCGCGAAAAGUACAACCGUGCCUCUCGCGGAAGCAAAAUCGUGCCUCUCGCGAAAGAAAAAAAAAGAAGAAGAAACGCGUUUUUUUCCCUUUCCGGAAGAGGCACACCCGUGCCUCUCGCGAAAUCACAACCGUGCCUCUCGCAGAAGCAAAACCGUGCCUCUCGCGAAAGAAAGAAAAAACAGAAAACGCGUUUUUUCCUUUCCGAAAGAGGCACGCCCGUGCCUCUCGCGAAAGCACAACCGUGCCUCUCGCGGAAGCAAAACUGUGCCUCUCGUGAAAGAAAAAAACAGAAAACANNNNNNNNNNNNNNNNNNNNNNNNNNNNNNNNNNNNNNNNNNNNNNNNNNNNNNNNNNNNNNNNNNNNNNNNNNNNNNNNNNNNNNNNNNNNNNNNNNNNNNNNNNNNNNNNNNNNNNNNNNNNNNNNNNNNNNNNNNNNNNNNNNNNNNNNNNNNNNNNNNNNNNNNNNNNNNNNNNNNNNNNNNNNNNNNNNNNNNNNNNNNNNNNNNNNNNNNNNNNNNNNNNGAAAGAAAAAAAAACAGAAAACACGUUUUUUCCCUUUCCGAAAGAGGCACGCCCGUGCCUCUCGCGGAAGCAAAACCGUGCCUCUCACGAAAGAAAAAAAAAACUGGUUUUCUUUUCCGUUUUCAAGAGGCACGGCCGUGCCUCUCGCGAAAGCACAACCGUGCCUCUCUCUAAAACAAAACCGUGACUCGCGAAAAAAUGUGUUUUUUUGCAAAAAAAAUAUUUUUUUUCGAUUUUUUUUUGUCGAAAAGCUAGGGAAGACCGGUGGAAAACCAAAACGUUAAAAAUCCCAGAAAAAAAACGUUUAAAAAGCCGAAAACGCAUGCGAAAAAAUAAAAAAACAAAAUCCGGAGGGAGUGUCCCAGAGCGCGACACGUGUCAAAUGACUAAGAGCGCGUCAAGUGGCUCUGAUCCUUGCGAGGCUCCCGAAGGAGCGCUCGUUAAUUAAUUGCUCCCUCGAGGGCGGCUGGAUAUGCUCUAAGGACUUGUGUAAAGUGGGGCAGGAUGCGGUGGGCCCGCAAUCUUGCUGCCAUCCUUCUUUCUGCCACCUGACGGCGAAGUGAGAAGGAAACCACCAGAUCUCGCAACGAUCGAGCUUGCUGUAUCAUCCACCUCCGGCAGUAACCGUCCGCCAUGAACAGUGGCCAAAAGAAGUAGAAGGCCAUCAUCGUGGCACAUCAAUGACUGUGACAAGCGUCUGUGCCAAGCUCCUCAACGACAUAAUGUCACACGCCUCAAAGGUCAGCCCUACCGUACACUUGAUAUCUACAACGACGACCCGAUGCUCUCUCGCAUCCCCAUGCUAGUCUAUGGCACCAGCGAAGGAGAAUGUGAGAGAUACCGGAGAACUCCCGGGGACUUGCGGAAGGGAUACCCAACGAAACACUCUGGCCAUGACGUUUUCUACAACUAAAGUUAUCAUUUAAAAAGAAAAAAGAAAAAAAAACUAAAACUUGCUAUGCUUGACAUUUAAAGUUCUCAUUCAUGCGUCUCUAAAUUUGCCAUAAAAAAUGUUUAAAGUUGUCAUGGUGUCACAAGUAUGACACUUAUCACGGUCCAAGCAAAAACCGGGGCGCUGCUACAUGUACGAUCAAUCGCAACCAUCCAUCUUAUCCAUGGUACUACUCCGAUCAAAAUUAACGGAAACACUAAUGCCCACACGUGUGGGCGUUUGCAUCUCGCCCACACGUGUGGAUCCGCGUCCGUUUGUGGGUGCACGAAUCUUGGCACGUUUGUGGUGGCACGUAGAACUGGGCUGAUGUGUGAGCAUUCAUCUGGUCGCCCACACGUUCGUUUCCUCACACGAAGGGGCCGACGUGUGGGCAUUUAGCAGUUCGCCCACACGUCAGAUUUUGCUCAUGCACAAGGGUUGAUGUGUGGGCAUUUGCCAUCUCGCCCACACGUCCGUCUCUUCUUUCAUUCCCAAGCUGCCAGUUGCCAUGUGUUUUGCAGUGUACAUGGCAAAUUGCCCUAGUGUGCUUAUAAGCAGAUGGCAACUCUUUUUUUACCCAAACAUGUCAGUUGCCAUGUGUUUUGCAGGGUACACGACAACUGCCCUAGUGUGCUUGUAAGCAGAUGGCAACUCUCUCAAACAUGUCAGUUGCCAUGUGUUUUGCAGGGUACACGGCAACUGCCAUAGUGUGUUUGUAAGCAGAUGACAACUCUCUCUUUUACCCGAACAUGUAAGUUGCCAUGUAUUUUACAGGGUACACGGCAACUGCCUAGUGUUAGUAGGUGGCAACUCCUAAUGUUUUCAAAUCAUGGCAACUAUAGUAAACCAGACCAUACAUGGCAAUAUCUGCAGUUUGUCCAAAAAUGGCAUCUGGCACUUGACCUGAGAUGACAACUACAGUUGAGCAACCAUGGCAACUGUAGUUGUCCGACAUGGCAACUGUAGUUCAGUGACAUGGCAAUUGUAGUUAAACGAACAUGGAAGAGGGUCCGGACCAUGGCAACUGCGGGCGCGUGGUGACUGUCACGCGGGGCGUGCGGGGCCAUGAGAUAGGAGGCCCGACGUACGGGCGUGUGGGUGUUAUCUAUUUUACCCACACGUAGGCAUGUGAGAGGGAACGUGAGGAAAAAAAGACGCGUUGGCAUUACUUGUUUUGCCCACAUGUAGGCGUGUGGGCUAAUUCUCUUAAACACCACACAAAACGUGUGGACAGACCCCUUAACGCCACAUAUGUGGGCGUUAUCGGCGUCCAAAAUUAAUUGUCGCAAUUUUAUUACUACUACGUCUUAUCCAUGAUAUUUUUCGAAGCAGCAUUUAAUAUGGAUCAAAGUUAUAUAUCUUUUUUUGCGAGGUAAUACGUUUCUCAUUCAUAAAAUAAAGAUCCGGUUACAAGACACGUAAUAACCGACAUUACAGUACUGAAAGGAAAGGAUAAUCCUGCACAAAAAACCAACGCCCGUUCCUCUCCUUCGGCAUCACCGAAGCAACCACCAAGAGAGAGAAGACAAAUCACCUCUUCACCCGAGCUCGACGCGGCUCCAUCGCUGAUCUGCAGCUUUACGGACCUCCAAAGUAGUUUGCCAAAAGCAAAAUCAUUGCCGUUGAAAUAAUCAGACCGGUGCAACAUGUCCCUGGACACGCCAUCAAACUCUAGACCUGACAUCCCCGCACGACUACAACGUCGGAGGAGAAAACCAGAGCUGUCAGCCUCCAACCACACACCCAACACAUGAUGCACCAUCUUCCAGCUGUCAACUGCACAAGCCGCCGUCUAUGCAUACUCCCGGAAAACAAAACCUCCCUGCUCCACCAUGACGUCGGAGACAACGCCACAGCAACGGGGACAGAGCAGAAGGAGAGACACACCUGAUAGAGUCGCCACCACCGCCUCGUCGACACCAUCCAUGAACCCUAACUUCGCCGAUCUGAAGUAUCAAACACACGAUGCCAUCAACUCUGAGACGCCGCCAUAAAGGACACCGCCGGUGUGGGAGUGGAGCUAAGGCAGAUUUAUUCGUCCGGACGCCGCACCCACCACCCCAACGACGCACCACAACAUACAAAACCAAAACUUAACUACAGAGCGGAGGAACGGGGUCCCCCCUCCCUCCCGCCGCCGGAGCAGCAGACGGAGGGAGAGGGGAUGAAAGAUCGUGGAUGUCGCCUAGAGGGGGGGGGGUGAAUAGGCGCUUUAAAAUAAUUACGGUUUAGGCUUGAACAAAUGCGGAAUAAACCUAGCGGUUAAUUUGUCAAGCACAAAACCUAAAACAACUAGGCUCACCUAUGUGCACCAACAACUUAUGCUAAGCAAGAUUCGUAACUAUGUGAUAGCAAGAUAUAUGACAAAGAACAAUAUGGCUAUCACAAAGUAAAGUGCAUAAGUAAAGGGCUCGGGUAGAGAUAACCGAGGCACGCGGAGACGACGAUGUAUCCCGAAGUUCACACCCUUGCGGAUGCUAAUCUCCGUUUGGAGCGGUGUGGAGGCACAAUGCUCCCCAAGAAGCCACUAGGGCCACCGUAAUCUCCUCACGCCCUCGCACAAUGCAAGAUGACGUGAUUCCACUAAGGGACCCUUGAGGGCGGUCACCGAACCCGUACAAAUGGCGACCCUUGGAGGCGGUCACCGAACCCAUACACUUUGGCAACCCUUGGGGGCGGUCACCGGUACCCGUCAAAUUGCUCGGGGCGAUCUCCACAACCUAAUUGGAGACCCCGAUGCUUGCACGGAGCUUUACACCACAAUGAUUGAGCUCCAAAGCACCACCAACCGUCUAGGGCGCCAAAGCACCCAAGAGGAACAAGCUCAAGGGCACCAAGCACCCAAGAGUGAUAAGCUUCUCAACUUGAAACUUCCACGUAUCAUCGUGGAGAACUCAAAUCGAUGCACCAAAUGCAAUGGCAAGGGCACACGGAGUGCCCAAGUCCUUCUCUCCCAAAUCCCACCGAAGCAACUAAUGCUAGGGAGGAAAGUGAGAGGAAGAACAAGAAGGAGAACACCAAGAACUCCAAGAUCUAGAUCCAAGGGGUUCUCCUCACAUAGAGGAGAAAGUGAUUGGUGGAAACGUGAAUCUAGAUCUCCUCUCUCUUUUCCCUCAAAAACUAGCAAGAAUCCAUGGAGGGAUUGGGAGAUAGCAAGCUCGGAGAAGGUCAACAAUGGGGGAAGAACACGAGCUCAAAGGAUAAGGUUUAAUGGGGAAGAAGACACCCUUUUAUAGGUGGGGAAAAAUUCAACCGUUAAGCUCACAACCCGCACAGAGCGGUACUACCGCUCCAAGGAGCGGUACUACCGCUAGGGCGGUAGUACCCCUUUGAAAAACAACAGCGAGGAGGCAAAAGGCCAGUAGAACCGCUGGAGUGGUACUACCGCUCGUCCUCACGGUACUACCGCAAAUGGUAGCGGUACUACUGCUUGCGAGCGGUACUAAAAAAAAACUUCUGUGCCUACUUCCGCUAAGCAAAACACGAGAUUUUGGUCUGAAGCGGUACUACCGCUUAGGAGCCGCGGUAGUACUGCUCUGGAGCGGUACUACGGCUCAGGAGCCGCGGUAGUACCGCUCUGGAGCGGUAGUAAAAAAUUACAUCCGCUCUAGCGUGGUAGUACCGCUGCAACCUUUGCCAAAACAGCCACAACUUUUGCAAACGGACUCCGAAUUCAACGAAACCAAGUUUGUUGGAAAGCUAACGACAUGGGCUAAAAUAAUCUUGAUAGAAAUAUCAAGAAUAAGCAAAUGAGAAAAGUCCCAUAAGAAAAAGGUGAGAACCCUUCCUCGGAUAAGAUCAGUAAAACCUCCAACACCGAAAACAUCAUAGAAGACGCAUGCGAACUCCGUUUUCGAUGAACUCAAGCUUGUCAUCAAGAUGACCAUAAGCUCUAAGACUCACAAAGAAAACCAAACAAGAACCAAGAAACAUGAUGCAUGGAUGCAAUGGUUUGAGCUCUCUACUAACGAUACGAUCAAGCUACCAACUUGAGAGCCCCCCUUGAUAGUACGACAAACGAUCCUAUAACUCGGUCUCCCAACUACCACCACGAGACUGGUAAAAUAGAAAACCUAUCAAGGGCAAACAUUUGCCUUGCACAUGGUCCACUUGAGCUAGAUGAAGACGAUCUUGACUCCCUCAAGUUGGACCACCUUUCUUGAUUGCGUUGGCUCGGUGAAGACUAGAUGAUUGCUCCCCAUAGUCCACUAUGGGUGAGCCACUCUUAGGCACAUCUUCACAAGUCCAUUGACACCAUAAUGGAUGGCAAGAUUCAAGCACUUGAUCUCUUCGUGAUGCUCCACUUGAACUUGCACACGACAAUCUUGAUGACGAUCACCACUUGAUGUCAUCCUUUCCAUGGGUUGUAUGAUAUCUGCCUCUUGACGCAAGCCCAUCGACACGUACCUAACCCCACAUAGAACUCUCACGUAGACCAUGGGUUAGUACACAAAGUGCAAUGGACAAUGCUUACCAUACCAUGGGAUCACUUGAUCCCUCUCGGUACAUCUUCUACGCUUUGUGAGUUGAUCAACUUGAUUCACUCUUGACUUAGUCUUGAUCAACCUUGAAUCUUUUCAACUCUCUUCAUUUGGAUGAUGUCUUGAAGGUAAACAUAAAUGACCACACAAUCUUCUUCUUCAAGACAUGCUUGCAAUAAGCUCAAUACUCACAUGACCUAUCUUUGGAUAAUUCCUUAAUAGCACAUUGGUCAACUCAUAAACUCCUUGAAACCAACACAUGGACUUCAAGAAAAACCUAUGGACAAAUCCUUCAAAUAUAACUCAAGACAACCAUUAGUCCAUAGAGAUUGUCAUCAAUUACCAAAACCAAACAUGGGGGCACCGCAUGUUUACAAUCCCCCCCGUUUUGGUAAUUGAUGACAAUCACUUUCAAGAGAGUUUAUACAAGGAAUUAUGCAUCACCAUGCAAUGCAACAACCAAUGAUGCAUGAGAAUGAGAUGCAAAAGCUUAGGAACCAAAACCAAAGCAAGGAGAAGACUCAGACGAAUUCUCCACAAAACUCUCUGAAACUUCUCCCCCAUUGGCAUCGAUUGCCAAAAUGGGCGAAAAGCUUAGAAGGCCAAUAUAAAUUGUGGUCCUCCAGAAAUUGUGUAUUUCUCAACAAGAGAGUGGAAUGCAAUACACAUAUCCAACUGUCAGUACUUGGAGGAAGACAAACUAUAUUGAGGCCCAAAGAUUGCAACAGAAAGAUAUGCCACAAAGACAUAACAAAGAGAGACACAAGCAAUCAAAAGAUACCAAUUGAAGCAACUAGACAAAUAAUCCGACGAGCCACAAGAAAAGAUAAGAAAAGCAUAAAGGAGUGUUCUAAAGAAACUAGAGAAGCUCCCCAUGAUUUGUGCACACAUAAGAAUAUUUGUAUUUGAAUACAAAGUGCACAAAAUAGGAUCAUAGCUCCCCCAAAAUCAAUAGAAACUCACAUCCAGUGCAAGUGAGCAAAUAGGAAACAAAGCCUAGCGCUUGCAACAAGCACAUGGUUGAGCAACAUGUAAGAGAGGCAACUUAAGAAAAGGCUCAACCAAAAAUGAUGUGUGUAAGUCAUGGCAAAGCACUUGAGAAGACUAAAAUUAGGAUGAGUAUCGGUGUCAAAACUGGCGGAUCUCGGGUAGGGGGUCCCGAAUUGUGCGUCUAGGCGGAUGGUAACAGGAGACGAGGGACACGAUGUUUUUACCCAGGUUCGGGCCCUCUUGAUGGAGGUAAUACCCUACGUCCUGCUUGAUUAAUAUUGAUGAUGUGGGUUACAAGAGUAGAUCUACCACGAGAUCAAGGAGGCUAAACCCUAGGAGCCAGCCUAUGGUAUGAUUGUUGUUCAUCCUAUGGACUAAAGCCAUCUGGUUUAUAUAGACACCGGAGAGGGCUAGGGUUACAUAGAGUCGGUUACAAUGAUAGGAGAUCGACAUAUCCGUAUCGCCAAGCUUGCCUUCCACGCCAAGGAAAGUCCCAUCCGGACAUGGGACGAAGUCUUCAAUCUUGUAUCUUCAUAGUCUUGGAGUCCGGCCGAUGAUGGUAGUUCGGCUAUCCGAACACCCCCUAGUCCGGCACUCCCUCAGUAGCCCUUGAACCAGGCUUCAAUGACGACGAGUCCGGCGCGCAUAUUGUCUUCGGCAUUGCAAGGCGGGUUCCUCCUCCGAAUGAUUUAUAGAAGAUUGUGAACACCAGGAUAGUGUCCGGCUCUGCAAAAUAAUUUCCACAUACCACCGUAGAGAGAAUAAUAUUCACACAAGUUCAAUCCGCUGACGUAUUCCAUGGCGUGACGUCACACCACAACCAAGCCUUUAUUUGAAUCGCUUUUAUUGUACCACUUCAGCGCGUUUAGCGAAGCGGUUUCCUUGGCACGUCCUGUCGAAGCAGAGAUCGUGUUCCGCUUAUUCCGGGAUUCCCAUCAAUACAGAUGUGGGUAACCCAACCGCGCCAUCAAUCACGACGCUUGGGGGAUAAGCGAGUUUUACCGGGCCGGUGGGGACACAUGUUUUUGUCCGCCCAUAUAAGGGGAUAAAGAUCCAACCCUUUUCCCUGCGCCUUCUUCCUCCUUAGCUUAUCCAUCUCUGCGAACCCGAGCUCCAGCGCCCAAGCCCGCACAUCCCACCUCAACCUUCUCCGAUCAUGUCUGGAGCGGGAGGCAAAUGGAUGGCCUCCUCCGUUACGGAGGCGCACAUCAAGAAGCUGCGCGACGCCGGAUAUCUAUCCAGCGAUAUUGCGCACCGACUCCCCAACGAGGGAGAGCUCAUCCCCACCCCUAGGCCCCAUGAGAGGGUAGUUUUCCUUCCCCAUUUCCUCCGCGGACUGGGCUUCCCACUUCAUCCCUUUGUCCGGGGACUCAUGUUCUAUUACGGCCUAGAUUUCCAUGAUCUGGCCCCGAAUUUUAUCCUCAACAUCUCGGCGUUCAUCGUCGUGUGUGAGGCCUUCCUCUGCAUCCAGCCCCACUUCGGCUUGUGGCUCAAGACCUUCAGUGUCAAGCCGAAGGUUGUGAAGGGCAGCCAAGCGGAAUGCGGAGGCGCAAUGGUGGGCAGGAUGUCCCAUGUUACAUGGCUCGAGGGCACUUUCGUGGAAACCAUCAAGGGGUGGCAAUCGGGGUGGUUCUAUAUCACCGAGCCGCGUGACCCUGAAUGGGCAGCGGCCCCCGAAUUCAGAUCCGGGAUCCCCACAUGGCUCACCUCCUGGAAAGAGAGCGGCCGGAUCUGGGGUAAUUCGAAAGAGCUGAUCGGACUCCAAGCUUGCGUCCAGAAGCUGGUGGACAAGAAGCUCAAGCUCGUCAACGUGGUCCAGGUCAUGCUCAUCCGUCGGGUCCUCCCGUGCCAACGACGGGGCUUCAACAUGUGGGAGUUUGAUCCGGCACAGCACCAGACCCUGAAGGGGCUCUUCGACACUACGUACGAAGAAGUCUGGAAGGUGUUGUUCAAGGGCGCCGAGACCCCCGCAUCCGCUACCGAAGAUCGCGGAUUUAGUUCGCAGCGUCCAGCUGACGCGGUAAGUGACUUCAUCCCUUACAGAAUGCUCGUUCUCCAUAGUUUGACUCUAUGCGGGAUCUAAACUCCCUCGUUCCUUUAACAGGACUAGCUGGCGAAGGCCGAACAGACUAUAUGUCCGGCCCCAUUGCCAGAGGACGCCCGUUUAACGGAGCUGCUAGCUCCGGCGCCCCAUGUGGUGCCGGAGAAGAAGGCCAAGAAGAAGGCCACGGGGACUCGGAAGAGUUCCCGUUUUCAGGUGCUAUCGGAUGACGAAUCCGAGGCCGACUCCUCUCACAAAGGUGAGGAGGAGAAGCAGAAAGCCUCUCCCCCAGCGGGGGGAGAGAAGAAAAGGAUGGCCUCUCCGACAAGGGAAGCCGAAGGGUCCAAGAGGGGAAAAACCCUUCCCCCGGACUACUCCGCCAACGCCGGUGAUGACGACGAGGACUGGCCUCCAAGGGCCAAGCCCCUGGCGAGAUCGUGAGUAUCCGGAAUCCCGAAUAACUUCAUGGUUUAUAUUUUUUUCUUUUGGCCACACAAUGUCUUUCUAAUGCCGCAUACAACCCUGUAGUCCGCCCAAGGAUGAUCUCCCCGCUUCUUCGAGCGGGUCCUUAGGUGCGUCGGAUAUGGAUUCCCUUCCGACCGCCUCCUCCCCUCGUGACGCGGACAGUGCCGAGGUGGGAUCCCGGGAAGGGACCCACCAGGAGGAGAAGGCGUCAGAGGUGUCGCAAGACAGCCUCCAGGACUUUGCACCGGACUCGGCGCCGGAGCCCCUAGUGGCUGCGGAGUCCGGCGGGCGACCCCUUCGCAAGAAGGGCAAGACCGUGACGCCGGCAGCUUCCGUCCAACCGGAGGUGCCGGAUAGAUUGCUAGAGGCGCUCAAUAGCGCCUCUAUUGAAGAGGAACACUGCACUGUUAUGAGUGCGGUGAUUCAGAAAGUUCAGCUCGCCAAGAACGGGCUGACCGAAGCCUGCAGCAGCCUUCUAACAGGCUUUGAGGUAAGAAUUUCAAUAUGUAAAAAAUGAUACCGCAUAGACAGUAGCCCCUGAUGCUCGGUUCGGUGUUCGGAAAGAAAAGCCGGACUGAGGAUCCGAUAAGAUAUACGCAGGAGUUAAAAAUAUGUCAAUAUGGGAUUGCAGGCUGCACUGCUGACCUCUGCCGCAUUGAAUGCGGAGGUCGAUACUUUGAAGAAGGACCUCGAGCGGUCCGAGAACAAGCUCGGCCAUGCCAAGAAGCAGCUCGAGGUCAAGGAAGGUGAGUAACACCAUAUUAAAAUUGCACCUUACAGAAAAUGAUUUUGGUUGCAAAAAGAAUAACGAGGAUAACAUGGGUAUUGCAGGGGCCACGAACGAGGUGGCGACCCUGAAAGAGGCGGUGGCCGCGGCCGAACGCAAUGCGGCUGCGGAGCGCACCGAGCGAGAGAAACAUGAGGCACGGGUGGCGGAGGUACAGCAAGAGCUCCAGGAUCUCGUGAAGAAACACGAGAGCCUGGAGCGUGACUCGAAGACUCGAGAGUCUGAGCUUGCAACGACUCUUGAGAGUGCCAAAGCUGCUAAGGCCGAAGCCUACAAGGCCCUUCAGGAGAUAGAGGCGGUGAAGAAAAUAGCAGCGGAUAAGGCAUUUUUCAUGCAAAGUAAGCAUGUGAGUGUUAAUUACCUGUCGCUUACCCGAAUUCGGAGCUCUCCAGGAGCAUUCGCAGAUCUUCCCCGCAGUGUGUCCGAUGCUGCCGCAUUCUACCGGGCCGAGGAGGGGAGCUCAACGGAGAAGGUCUUCUGGUCUCAGUAUGCUGAGGCCGGACAUCCGGUGCCCCUUAACGACCAGCUGAAGCAGCUGGUCGAGCUCCACAAGGCGGCCGAACAGGCCAUGAAGGGCCUCAUAGUUCGGCUGUGGCCUAAGGAGGCUAUGCCUGGGAGCUACUUCAGCCUGGUGCGGCGGCUGGUGGACGCGUGCCCGUGGGUUGAAAUUAUCAAGCACUCCGCCUGUAUCGAGGGUGCGCGUCGGGCCCUUGCCCGCGAAAAGGUGCACUGGGGCAAGAUGGAUGCCCAGAAGCUUGUGACGGACCCCCACCAGAGGGCAAGGAGCAUCGCACGCCCGAGAUGUAUUAUAGGAGUGUGCUGAAGGGCGCCCACAUUAUUGCGGGUGAGUGCUCCAAAGAAGAAGUUUUUGAGUAGACUCGCGUUUUGUUAUCCUGUGCGCUGAAAACUAAGUUCAUAUGCGCGAAGCAACACUUGUUAAUUUAAAAUAUUACCUUCUGUGCGGCUGUUUAUCAAAUCUGAGAGAUGGCAAGUCGUCGGCUUCAGCCCCCAUGCCACGAGUGCUGGGGUGUUCAGGAUAAAUUUGGGCACUCUUGUUCCCAUAUUUGGGUCCAUCGAGGGAGGCGCUCAACACAACGAACAAGGCAACUGGACUUAUAAUGCUUGAACACUCUCACUUAGCCAUAGAAUUCUAUAAUUUUAAAUUUCGGCGAAGCCCCUAGUUUUCGGAAGGCCGAAUUUGGGGCGCUAUCCACGCCUUGGCCGGACAGAAUCCGGCUCCUCGCUCGAAGUGGCAUAAGUCUUUAGGGACUCGCAAAGAACCUCUCGAACAGUGACCAGCUCUCGCCUCAUCAUGAUGGUCAGUUUUAGCUUUCUCCACUAAGGCGUUAACCCAGCUCAACUGGGGCGCAAUCGCAGUGGUUCUCCCAGUGCUACCUUAGCCGAUAAAAUGGAACGUAAUGUACCAAAACAUGGGAGCCGGGCAAACCCAACUAUUGACCCAAGAACAUGAUUCGGAGCCGAUGCAUAUAAUGCUAUAAGUUCGGGGUGCCGCACUUGUGAAAGUGUUCGGACUUAUCACACCAUAACGCGGGAAACAUAAGCCCCUGGUGUAUUCAGCCGUACCAAAACGUACGGAUGCAACAUGUCAUAGAUGAACAUAUGUGUAAGAAAGAAAUGCAAUUAGAAGCAAAAAUGUGCUGCAUUGCUUUAUUCGACAAAAACUGCUGUAAGUGCAUGACGAUACAAGUGGUGCGGUAAGCAAGGGAUGGGACUGUUUAACAUGUCCCCCUCCAGGGGUAGGCUACGAAAUAAUGCAUAAAAUAGAUUUAAUGCUCAUGAUGGAGACCACCUGGAUUUUCGUUGUAGCCUUUCUCCUUCCCUGGCUGUUGCAUCGUGGGUUCGGCAUGUCUGCUGCCGGACAGGGCCUCUGACGAACGGAGUCCUGUAGGUAAAAAAUAAAAGGAAAAGAAAAAGAAACGACACACUUAAGAGCCCCUGGUGCGGUUGAGCCGCAGUCUGGGCUUAUCGUGGUCGAGCCCCUUGCCCCAUGCCCAUGGUAUCUUCGGAGCGUAAUGGAGUACGUGAAGGGUCUGUCUUAAUGUUUUACAGGGGCUGGGGUUGGGGCCGCACUGCUACGCAUGCUCGGAACGUGCCAGGUGGUCAUGUUGUAGGUUACUCCGGGCACGCUUAGCUGUGUCCGGCCGCUUGGCAGCCGGACUCGAGAAUUUCCUUAAAAGGCUGCUUUGUACUUCUGUCGCGAGAGCCGCUGUAUGUUCCUCCGUUCGGAGGGAGCGUUCAGUGUUUCCGUUGACCAUGAUGACUCAUCUAGGGCCUGGCAUCUUGAGCUUGAGGUAUGCGUAGUGCGGCACCGCGUUGAACUUUGCGAACGCGGUACGUUCGAGCAAGGCAUGAUAGCCGCUGCGGAACGGGACUAUGUCGAAGAUUAACUCCUCGCUUCGGAAGUUAUCCGGGGAUCCGAAGACCACUUCCAGUGUAAGUAAGCCUGUACAAUUGGCUUCUACACCUGGUAUGACGCCUUUAAAGGUCGUCUUGGUAGGUUUAAUCCUUGAGGGGUCUAUACCCAUUUUGCGCACCGUGUCCUGAUAAAGCAGGUUUAGGCUGCUGCCGCCGUCCAUCAGGACUCUGGUGAGAUGAAAUCCAUUGACGAUUGGGUCUAGAACCAAUGCGGCGAACACACCAUGGCGAAUGCUGGUGGGGUGGUCCCUUCGGUUAAAGGUGAUCGGGCAAGAGGACCAUGGAUUGAACUUCGGGGCAACUGGCUCCAUCGCGUAUACAUCCCUGAGUGCACGCUUCCGCUCCCUUUUGGGUAUGUGCGUGGCAUAUAUCAUGUUCACCGUCCGCACCUGUGGGGGGAAACCCUUCUGUCCUCUAUUGUUCGACGGUCGGGUCUCUUCCUCGUCGUCGCUAUGUAGCCCCUUGUCGCUGUUUUCGGCAAUUAACUUGCCUGCCUGCUUGAACACCCAACAGUCCCUAUUGGUGUGGUUAGCUGGCUUUUCAGGGGUGCCAUGUAUCUGGCACAAGCGGUCGAGAAUUCGGUCCAAACUGGACGGACCCUGAGUUGUUCUUUUGAAUGGCUUUUUCCGUUGACCGGGUUUAGAGCCUCUGAAUCCGACAUUGACUGCCGUAUCCUCAUUGUUAUCGCCGUUAAUGCGGCGUUUGUUUUUGUUGCGACGCGACCUGCCACUACGGUCCUUGAUAUCCGGACUGCCAGAAUUUUUGUUGAGGUUGUUGCUGCGUGCUAGCCAGUUAUCCUCACCCGCACAGAAGCGGGUCAUGAGUGAUGUGAGGGCUGCCAUGGAUUUCGGCUUUUCCUGUCCCAGGUGCCGGGCAAGCCACUCGUCGCGGAUGUUAUGCUUGAAGGCCGCGAGGGCCUCAGCAUCCGGACAAUCGACGAUUUGGUUUUUCUUGGUUAAGAACCGUGUCCAGAAUUGUCUGGCCGAUUCGUCUGGCUGCUGAAUUAUGUGGCUUAGGUCAUAUGCAUCUGGUGGUCGCACGUACGUGCCUUGGAAGUUAUCGAGGAAUGCGGCUUCUAGGUCCUCCCAACUCCCGAUUGACUCUGCUGGCAAGCUGUUAAGCCAGUGCCGGGCUGGUCCUUUAAGUUUGAGUGGGAGAUAUUUGAUGGCGUGGAGAUCGUCUCCGCGGGCCAUGUGGAUGUGGAGGAGAUAGUCCUCGAUCUAGACCGCGGGGUCUGUUGUGCUAUCAUAAGAUUCAAUACUGACGGGUUUAAACCCUUCUGGGAUUUGAUGAUCCAUUACCUCAUCUGUGAAGCACAGUGGGUGUACGGCGCCUCUGUACUGGGCGAUAUCGCGACGGAGCUCAAAAGAGCUUUGUCUGUUGUGUUCGGCCCGGCCGGACUUACUGUGUCCGGGGUGACGGUGAUCGUCACAUAUCGUGGGGCGCCCACAUGAUCCAUAGAUCGAUCUUGAUUGUCUUGCCUUAUCCUCCAAUAUGUCUCGCAGGUCCGGAGUGUUCCCCUGUGGCCUUGUGCUUUUCGAGCGAUGCCGGGGUACGAGUCUAGUGAAGGGCCUUGAGGCCUCUCUGUCGCGACCACGGGGUGGUCGAUCAGCCGUAUUGUCUCCUGGUGAAGCGGGAUCAUAUGCCUCCACCUCUAAUCGGGGGAGCAGCUUAUGUUUGGGGUAGCUUUUGGAGGGGCGUUCGAGUUCAUGCUCUUCGGCCGCGAGGACUUCGGUCCAUCUGUCGACUAGCAAAUCUUGAUCAGCUCUAAGCUGCUGCUGCUUUUUCUUGAGGCUGUUUGCCAUGGCCAUAAGCCUGCGUUUGAAACGCUCCUGUUCGACGGGAUCCUCAGGCACGACGAAUUUGUCGUCGUCGAGGCUUGCCUCGUCUCCGGAGGGAGGCAUAUAGUCCUCUACCUCUUCUUCGGCCGCUCUCUCAUGAGGGCUGGCGUCCCCCUCCUCCUGCGCUGGAUCUUGCUGGAGUGGGUUGUCUUCGGCGCUAUCCGGUGUAUUAUUGUCUCCGGUGCCGAAAUCCUCAUUCUUGCUAUGGUGGGAUUUAGAGCGGCGCCGCUGACGCCGGCGCUUGGGCUGUUUCUUGGAGGGGUCAUCCUCCGCUAUUCCUUCGCCGUUCCCACCCUUUGGGAUAUCCACCAUGUAUAUGUCGUAUGAAGAGGUGGCUUUCCAGUGCCCGGUGGGCGCUGGUUCUUGGUCGUCUCCGGCAUCGUCGUCCAUACCGUCGAUGUCCUCAGAGUCGUAAUCUAGCAUGUCGGUUAGAUCGUCGACAGUUGCUACCAAGUGGGUGGUGGGUGGGCUCUGAAUUUCUUCGUCGUCCGCAUCCCAACCAUCCUGGCUGCAGUCCGGCCAGGCCUCUCCUGAUAACGAGAGAUACUUUAGCGAACUCAAGAUGUCGUCAAAAGGUGAGUGUUGAAAGAUGUCCGCCGCGGUGAACUCCAUGAUCGGCGCCCAAUCGGAUUCGACUGGAGGGGGCGCGGGAGGUCCGGAGUCCGGCAAGGAGUCCGACACCUCGGAGUCACGAGCUUCAUGGGGGACAAGAUCGGUGUUCGGCUCUAUCGCCGUAGAGGUUGCAGCCCCCGAGGCGGUGUCUAGCCAUCCAUCCUUGGUCCGUGCAGCCGGCUUCGAGUCGAAGAUCGGAGCGGGUUCGAGUGCGACCUCCAGGGUACUGUCCGGCUGCAGAGCUAAAUCAUGCCCAUCGUGACAGUACGACACGCUCGGCUGUGGCUCGAAUCCGUCGAGGAUCAAGUCCCCGCGGAUGUCAGCCGUGAAGUUCAAACUUCCAAAUCUGACCUGAUGGCCAGGGGCGUAGCCUUCGAUCUGCUCCAGCUGGCCAAGCGAAUUGGCCCACAGUGCGAAGCCGCCGAAUGCGAAGAUCUGUCCGGGGAGGAAGGUCUCACCCUGGACUGCAUCGUCGUUGAUGAUCAAAGAAGCCAUCGAGCCUAUCGGUGACGACACAGAGGAACUCUCAAUGAAAGCACCAAUGUCGGUGUCAAAACCAGCGGAUCUCGGGUAGGGGGUCCUGAACUGUGCGUCUAGGCGGAUGGUAACAGGAGACGAGGGACACGAUGUUUUUACCCAGGUUCGGGCCCUCUUGAUGGAGGUAAUACCCUACGUCCUGCUUGAUUAAUAUUGAUGAUGUGGGUUACAAGAGUAGAUCUACCACGAGAUCAAGGAGGCUAAACCCUAGGAGCUAGCCUAUGGUAUGAUUGUUGUUCUUCCUAUGGACUAAAGCCAUCCGGUUUAUAUAGACACCGGAGAGGGCUAGGGUUACACCGAGUCGGUUACAAUGGUAGGAGAUCUACAUAUCUGUAUCGCCAAGCUUGCCUUCCACGCCAAGGAAAGUCCCAUCCGGACACAGGACGAAGUCUUCAAUCUUGUAUCUUCAUAGUCUUGGAGUCCGGCCGAUGAUGGUAGUUCGGCUAUCCGGACACCCCCUAGUCCGGCACUCCCUCAAUGAGCAUUAAGCAUCAACAUGGUCUUGAAAGAAUGAGGCGCAUAGUGCAAGGCCUAUCAUUCCCACACACAACUGGCAAAUGGGUUCACAAGCUUACUAAUAAGCAAAUAGAGAACCUAUGCUUGUGACAACCCGUGGUGAAGAUAGACGAAGAGAGGCUCAUCAAGACGAGGGAUACCAAGCCUCGUAAAGAUAAGCAAGAGGAAAAUAAUCUUCACCACACAAGAGUGCAUCAAGAUGCAACGAUAGAGGACACACACUCAAGGCAAAAGCUUUCAUGGAGCCACCAAAGAAAUAACAUAAGAAAGACAAGGUGGACAUGAAAGAAAGGAUAUCAUCUAGAUAUGCAACUUCUCUCAAGUGUAUAAAAUUCUAGGUAGACGAAAUCAUGAAGAUAUAUCUACAAAGAAGGACGUACACCCAGAAUAGUUACAACAUGAAGGAACAAGAUAUCCAAAAGGAAAUCAUAGAUAUACCAAUAAGAUAUUUGAUUGGAAGCAUAGCACAUGGCUAGAUAUGGUCUUAUUGGAUAUAGAUGAAUUCCUACAACACAACCAUCAAAUACAUCACAACUAGAAACAUGAGAUCAUCGUUGAGAUGCUUUGAGAAAGGAAACAAGUAUCACAAGAACUAGUGAAACACAUGCCAUGAUACAACCUACACAAGGUUGAUGCAAUAAAUGUGUGCAUGAAGUAGAUAAAGAUACUUGUUACCGAGAUAUCAUUGGAAGGAUGUAGUAGAUACCCAUUGAAGGUAGAUAGUAGUUCAUUGAUCAUCCUAGCUUGACUCCAAAAUGCACAUGGUGACAACACCUUCCUUGUGAGUGAGACGAGCAUCCAAUGAAUCUCCAAAUGUUCCUAGAAGAACAACACACACUAAACAGUACCCAAACUCAUCGGGACCAAAUAGUUAGAAACACAAAUACAUAGGACAAACUCCACAUAAAUAUGUGCAUAUAGAUUUGAAAAAGAAUUUCAUGCACAUCUCAUACAAAUUGAGACUAGGUGGAGUUUCCCCUAUAUAUUGAGUCAAAGAAAGAAAGCAUGCCAUAAAACAUACAUGAAGUAAAUAUGCAUGCUCAAGACUUUCAAGAACUAAAACCAAAACAAAACGAAAUGCCAAGAGAAAAGGAUACCAAAUAGAUAAAUCAUCACUUGGAAGAUAUCAUUAAAGAUACAACAAGGAGUGAGAUAUCCAUUGAUACACACUAAAAUAAAAGAUGUCAAACUCCCAAAGAGAGGAUGCUUCCAAACAAACCAAGCUCUCAACAAAGUUUCAUGAUGGCACAAAGUACCAAAAAGAAAUGGCUUGCCUUCCACCUACACACUUGAUAAGGAUCACAAGAAGAGUGUUCUAGAGAAAAUAGGAUAGCUCCCCCAUGAGUUGUGCAUUAUAUAGGGAAUUUGUAUUUGAAUACAAAAUGCACUAGGUGGGAUCACCACUUUCACUAUAUCUAGAAAACCCUAGACAAGAACAAGAAAUAAACAAGAUCCACAAGUGGUAUGGAAGACAAUGGGAGUUGACACAAACCUUGGCAAGAGAAAAGGCAAAUAAAAACAAAAGCCAAUGUAAAGAUGAUCAAUAAAUUCUACCACACAAAAGUGACUACCAAUUGUCAAAAGACAAGAAGUAUCUGGAAAUAAUUCCCGGUGGUAGAUAACAAGGAUAUCCGACAUCAUCUUCACACCAAACACAAGCAAAUUGCAACUUGUAGAGCUAACAUGCCACCUAGGAACAAGAUAAUAUACAAUAUCAAUUCUAGGUGACAAUAUCUCAAAUGUACACAUUUUCUAGGCUUUUAAUAUGCACUUAGCAUAUUACUCCCCCAUAAUGUGAUACCAAUAAGAACUUAACAAGAGGCAAUAAGAGGACCCAACAAGAUAUAAUCAAUGGAAUUUUUAGAAUUUGAAUUUCUCAUGAGAGAUAUACCACCUAGCGACUAGAUAAUCUUGUAAUAUCAAUACUAGAUGGUAUUCCUCAUGUACACACAUUUAUAGGAUUAUGAGGUACACAAAGCACAUCACUCCCCCAAAAUGGGAUGUUCCAUUAAUCUCUCACAUGAGCCAACUAGGAUACAAACAAGAAGCAAAAAGGCUCAAAGCACGACACACAUGUACAUGAUGUGCAAACCAUCACACACAGUUGGAAGCACAACAUAUACAAACACAUGCAAGGAACAAAACCAAAACAUGCAAGGGGGCAAGUAACUUCCAAUGUAAAAAAUUUAAGUACAAGUUACCGCAAGGAGGCACAUUGGAUAUAAGAUAGAAACUUGAUAAUCCAAUUGACUUGGCUUGAGACGAUAAGAAUGAUGAAGUCCCCUUAAUUCUUCAUAAUGUAGCCAAGUCUCCAAUGCCCUCCAUCAACACCUAUUGAUCAAGUUUGAGUUUGGUGGUCCCCAACCAAGUUGGGUCCUAAGAGGUUAGUCACAAUAGGCUUGGCUACCCAAAUGGUUCUUUUCUUGACACCACUUUGAGUACCAACAAACUUGGCAAACACAUUGCCAACCUUAUCCUUCCCAAGAGAAUAGAUAUCAUCAAUAAUAAUUGGGUUGGAUAAGUUACCACUAGUGCAUGAAGAAGCAACGUGACCUUUCUCACGACAUAAGUAGCAACGUCUACUCUUCACUUUCUUCUCACUUGAUUUCUCAACAAGAGAAGCAUUAACUUGAGUAUUCUUGGGAAGUGGCCUUUCUUCAACUUGAGGUUGAGCAUGAGAUUGAACUUGUGGCCUCUUCCCUUGUUGCUUGUCACUAAUGGCCUUCUUCUUCAAUGGGCAAGAUCUAACAUGAUGCUGUAAGUGCAUCUAGUGCCCCUUAGUGAUUUUGGUGUAUUGAAGACUUAUAGGUCAAGUGACUAAUGCGUUUGUGAGUGUACACAGGUCUAUAAGUCUAUGAGGAGUUUGAUAUUUACAGAGAAAGUCGACCCCUAAAAAUGAAUAUCUUCGACUGAAGAUUUUGGUAUUCCUGAAGACUUUCAUGAAGACUUUGAAAGUGAAGAAAUUGGUGUGUCCGUGAAGACUUGAUAUUCAUGCGAGGAAUAUGAAGCUUGAAGACUUUUGUUUUCAUAGUUUUGUUUUUAUCUUUCUUGAGUCAUAGGAAACACCGUACUGUUAAAGGGGGUCGAGGAAAUACUAACGAAAAAUUUCCAAGUGAUGCUCAACUCAAAAUCCUACACCUACCAAACCCUUCGAGUGAAGCCUUUGGAAAUCUCAUACAGUUCAAUCAAUUUCUUCAGUGACAGAGACGAAGUUCUUCUGGUCGCUAAGGAAUUUGUUCUGACUAAGGAGUUAGAAAUUCGCCAGUGCGGAUUGCCUACACAGUGAGGAACAUGAUAGCCCCGAGGAAUUUGAGAGUCAAAUUUUUGACCGUUGCUGUGCUACGCGCCAGCUGUCCCACAAUAUCUUAUCCACCUAACGGUCAUAUCAGACAAGGGCAUUUAUGUCUUAUCAUGUCGGGCUGCUCCCUAGGCUAUAAAUAGCCGCCCCCUACAACCACUAGUUGGUUGGCUGCUCUGAGAGAAACUGACACUUGUCAUUUGAGAGCAACCCAUCCUCCGAGGACUUUGAGCGAAAAUCAUCGAGUGAGGAAAAACCCAAACCCCAAACACCUACAAACCCCAAAGUGAUUGAGCAUCACUGAAGAGAUUGAUCCUGCGUGGAUCUGACGCUUGUUACCUUUGAAGACUGUGCUUCUUCCAGACGGUUAGGCGUCAUGGUCUAGAGCAUCCAAGAGGAAUUGUGGAUCGUCGAGUGACCGAGUCUGUGAAGGUUUGGAAGUCGCCUGAAGACUUACCACGAGUGAUUGGACGAGGUCUGUGUGACCUUAGUUCAAGGAGAAUACGGUGAGGACUUGGUGUCCUGAGCUGCGUGCUCAGCGAUUGGGUGUCCGGGACUGUGUGUCCUCGAGUUUAAAUACUCAGCCGCUCCAACCAGACGUACAACUGAGACAGCAGUUGGAACUGGUCUACCAAAUCAUUGUCUUCACCAACCUUACUGGUUCUAUUUCCUCAACUCUUUCAAUUCCUCAUUACUGUGUUGAGUGAUUGUUCAUAUCUGUGUUUGAAGACUUUAACUGAAGACUUUCUCAAUUUCCUCAGUUCAGUUUCUUCAGCCUGUUUGUCUUCAUCUUGUGUUAUCCUGUGUUUACGCUUCCUGUACUCUGUGCUUGUCUUCAUUUCAUCAUGAUGACUAUGUCUGUAUCCUGUUAUGCUUACUUCUGAGUACUUAUUCUGCUGCUAGUAGUUCUUCGCUAAGGAAUUUCCUCACCGGCAAAUUCCUCAGUGAAGAAUUCAUAAAAAUCGCCUAUUCACCCCCCCUCUAGUCGAUAUAACGCACUUUCAAUUGGUAUCAGAGCAAGGUACUCCCUUGUUCUGUGUGAUUUUGGUUUAACCACCUGGAGUUUUAGUUAUGUCGACUGCAGGAUUGAGGAACGUUUCCUGCCCCAUCUUUGACGUCAUGAGUAUCCUCGGUGGAAGGCCAUGAUGAAGAAGCGACUCAUGGCUAUGGACAGCGAACUGUGGACCGUCACUGAGAUCGGUCUUACCGAUCUAUGCAAGAUGGCUGAGGCUGAUGACAUUCGCAAGUACACUCUACUCAACCUCACUGCGAAGGAUGUCAUCUGCUCUAGUCUGUCCCGAAAUCAGUUCAGGAACGUCAUGCAUCUCAAUCACGCGAAGCUAAUCUGGGACCGUCUCUCUGAGGUCUAUGAUGGACAUCUUACUCGUCAUGAUCCUUGGUUUGAGGAUUACAAGGAAUCUCUCAAGGAGAUGAUAUUCGAACCAGAAUCAUCAUCGUCCAACCCCUGCCUUAUGGCAAACAGUGCUAAGGUAACUGAAUGCUACCUAUCCGAAUCUAGUGAUGAUGAAUCUGACGAUGAAUUUGGACCUAGCUAUGUUAAACUUGCUUCCCUUGCCACUAAACAACAAAUAGCUUUGGAAAAAGUUCAUUACAUGCUAAAUAAGAGCGAUGAUAUGUUGGGUGAAGAAAUGGAUCAGUCAAAAGCCUUGGUUGAAAGUCUUCAGGGACUCCAUUCCAAGUUUGAGGACCUUCAAGGUCAUCAUAACGCUCUCUUAUCUGAUCACGAGAAGCUUUCUCUUGAACUUCUUCAAAGGAAGCAAGAUCUUGAGAAGCUAAGAGUGAGUUAUGAAGAUCUUCAGAAGGAGCGCGAUUCAUUGCUAGCUCAACAAAUCAACGCUUCUCAGGAAGAAUUUGUUCCUCCAUGCUUAAAGUGCAUUGAACGUGAAUCUGCUAAUUCUUCACCUGAAUGUUCAAAUGCUUCAAAUGUUACAAAUUCUUCACCUGCCACUACUAUAUCUAAUUCCUCAUCUGAGGACAUUGCUAGUAUCACUAACGAUGCAAGGCUGAAGGAAUUGUACACGACAGACAUGUACAAAAGCCUCAAAGGGCAUCAGAUUCUUUGUGAUGUGCUCAAAAAGCAGAUCCUCAACAGAAACCCUAGAAAAGAGGGUAUUGCCUUUGAGAGGAAACUCAACGCUGAUGGAACAUAUUGGAAGCCUGAGCAGUACCCCAAAACCUCAUGGGUUGCUGCAAAGGGACCUCCAGUUGAUCCAUCUAACUUAUCUGGCUUUACAUGUGAAUCUUCUCAUUCUUCUGAUGAGUCAUUUGACUCCAACUAUAAAUUGUUCAAAAAUCAGAAUGGUGAAGUAUUUGCUAGAUAUGUUGGCACUAACUGCAGGAACGGUUCUCCUAUGAAGAAAAUCUGGGUUCCCAAAAGUUAUGUUGAAAGUCUUCAGGUGAAUGUCCUUAUGACACCACCUGUGAAGAACAGGAACCCCAGAUCCAAUUCUUCAUAUGGACCUAAUUCUUCACAUGGAUCAAAUUCCUCAAAUGGAUCAAAGUCCUCUUAUGAUCAUCAUCGUGCUAACCCUUCUGUUUCGCAGGGUAGAGCUAAGGGCUAUGAAUAUGCGCAUUAUUCUUCAAAUCAAUAUGUUCAUAAGUCCUCGAAGAAUUUCUCUGCUUAUUCAUAUGCUUACCCUAACCCCUCUUAUGUGAAACGAAAUGGAUUGGCUUCUAUGCCACCUUUCUCAUAUGGUGCUCGCAGAGUGAUGAACUCUUUGCCACCCCUUCAGAUGUGGGUGGUGAAGAAAAAGAACUAAUCUCUUAUGCAGGGUCAGGUCUCCAGACGUGCCUUAAAUGUCUGAAGAAUUUGCUGGGGGCCUGACAAAAAUGCCUGAAAGGACGCAGGCGAAUCAUGAUGAAAUGAACUUUCAUUUCACACGUCCUCAUACUGAAAUAUCUGUUUUACUGCUUGAUGAAAUUCAUCUGAUGAACUUGAUAUCAUAUUCUUCACUGAUGAAGUAUAUGAGAUCGUAAGUUGCACUAAUUCAUCUGUAGGAUGAUCAGCCCAAAGCCAACGAGUGGGUUCUAGAUAGUGGAUGUACAAAUCACAUGACGGGUGACAAGAGUCUAUUGAUGGAUGCUACUUUGUCACCGUCACAUCUAAAGCAUAUCAUCUUCACUGAUAAAGGCAAAAGUCAGGUAUUGGGUCUAGGUAAGGUUGCGAUCUCAAAGGAUCGACACAUGGACAAAGUCAUGCUUGUCGAGUCCUUAGGAUACAACCUCAUGUCUGUCUCAAUGCUUUGUGAUCUUGAUAUGGUUGUUGUCUUUGGCAAGUAUCGUUGUGUUGUGAUCAUGGAAGUUGACCAUUCCAAAGUCUUCGAAGGCUUUAGGAGAGGAGAUCUGUAUAUUGUUGAUUUCUCUACAGGACCACAACCAGCCGUGUGCUUACUCGCAAAAGCUUCAGAAGGCUGGCUAUGUCAUCGACGACUUGGUCAUGCUGGCAUGAGGAAUCUGAACACGCUUGCAAAGAAGAAGCAUGUCAUUGGCAUUGAGAAUGUCAAAUUCCUCAAGGAUCACUUAUGCGGAACUUGUGAAGCUGGAAAGAUGACAAAGGCCAAGCAUCCGGCGAAGACUAUCAUGACCACUACUCGCCCAUUUGAAUUGCUUCACAUGGAUCUCUUUGGUCCUAAUCAUUAUUCUGCUGUUUCAAAUGAUGCAUCUCUAUAUGGCUUUGUUAUUAUUGAUGACUAUUCUCGUUACACAUGGGUACACAUUGUCACUUACAAACAUGAAGUGCAGGAAAUCUUCAAACGAUUUUCCUCGAGGGCUUUAACCAACUUUGGUGUGAAGAUCAAGCACAUCAGAACUGACAACGGGACCAAGUUCAAGAAUUCCGGUCUUGAUGGCUAUCUUGAUGAACUUGGUAUUACUCAUGAGUUAUCUGCUCCUUAUACUCCUCAGCAGAAUGGCAUCAUGGAGCGCAAGAAUAGAACCCUCGCUGAAAUGGCUCGCACUAUGCUUGAUGAAUACAAGACGCCUCGUCGUUUCUGGAUUGAGGCAAUUGAUACUGCGUGCCAUGUCAUCAAUCAAGUAUAUCUUCACAAAUUCUUCAAGAAGACAGCCUAUGAACUCCUCACUAACAAGAAACCCAAUGUGAGUUAUUUCAAAGUCUUCGGUGCUAAAUGUUGGAUUAGAGAUCCUCAUCACAAUGCUAAAUUUGCACCGAAAGCACAUGAAGGUUUUAUGCUUGGUUACGGAAAGGACUCGCACACCUACAGAGUCUUCAACAAUGUUCUUCACAAGGUUGUUGAAACUGUAGAUGUGUGGUUCGAUGAAACUAAUGGCUCGCAAAGAGAGCACCUACCUUCUGUAAUAGAUGAACCAGCACCUGAGGAUUCCAUCAAGUUCAAGGCUACUGAGGAUGUUAUUCCUACCGAAGAAUCUACUGAAGAAUUCAUUCCAGAACGUGAAGAAAAUCAAGCUGGUGCACCUGAUGAAAAUACUGAAGAAAGUGGUGCUGAAGAAAAUGCUGAUCAAAUUCCUCAACGACAAUCAGCUCAUCCUCGCAUUGCAAAAGAAGUGCAAGUGGAAAAGAUCAUCGAUGACAUUCGAGCGCCAGGUCCUCUCACACGCUCAAAAGCUUCACAUUUAUCUAACUUUUGUGGGCACUAUGCUUUUGUCUCUAUCACAGAGCCCACUAAGGUAGAUGGAGCAUUUCUGGAGCCUGAGUGGAUUUAGGCCAUGCAAGAAGAAUUACAUCAGUUCGAGCUCAACAAUGUCUGGGAACUGGUCAAACGUCCAGAUCCUCGCAAGCAUAAUAUCAUUGGCACAAAGUGGAUCUACCGCAACAAGCAAGAUGAAAAUGGCCUUGUGGUGAGGAAUAAGGCAUGACUUGUAGCUCAAGGCUACACACAGGUUGAAGGAAUUGAUUUCGAUGAAACUUUGCACCUGUUGCUAGACUUGAGGCUAUUCGCAUAUUACUUGCUUAUGCUAACCAUCAUAAUAUCACUUUAUAUCAAAUGGAUGUGAAAAGUGCAUUCCUCAAUGGUAAGCUUGAGGAAGAAGUAUAUGUUGCUCAACCCCCAGGUUUUGAAGAUCCAAAGAACGACGACAAAGUCUUCAGACUCAACAAGGCCCUCUAUGGCCUCAAGCAGGCCCCUCGGGCGUGGUAUGAUACUUUGAAGGAAUUCUUCGUGAAGAAUGGCUUCACACCCGGUUCACUCGACCCUGCUCUCUUUACUAAAUCUUAUGAUGGUGAACUGUUUGUGUGCCAAAUAUGCGUUGAUGAUAUUAUCUUUGGCUGUACUAACCAACGUUAUAGUGAUGAAUUUGCCUAUAUGAUGAGUGAAGAAUAUCAAAUAUGAUGGGAGAGUUGAAAUUCUUCUUAGGUCUUCAAAUUCGUCAACAACACAAUGGCAUAUUCAUAUCUCAGGAGAAAUACCUCAAGGAUGUUCUGAGGAAAUUCGGCAUGCAAGAUUGCAAAGGCGUCAAAAUUCCUAUGCCCACAAAUGGCCAUCUAUGCACCGAUGAAAAUGUUAUUGACUUCGAUCACAAGGUAUACCGCUCCAUUAUUGGCUCUUUAUUGUACUUAUGUGCAUCUAGGCCAGAUAUAAUGCUUAGUGUUUGCAUGUGUGCCCGAUUUCAAGCUACACCAAAGGAAUCACAACAUAAGGCUGUGAAGCAUAUUCUUUGAUAUCUAGCUCACACACCAACACUAGGAUUAUGGUACCCCAAGGGCUCAACUUUUGAUCUCAUUGGAUAUUCUGACUCUGACUAUGCUGGUGGUCGUGUGGACCGCAAGUCAACAUCUGGUACUUGUCAUUUCCUUGGACAAUCUUUGGUCUGUUGGUCCUCGAAGAAACAGAAUUGCGUAUCUCUGUCUACUGCUGAAGCUGAAUACAUUGCUGCUGGUUCUUGUUGUGCUCAAUUGCUAUGGAUGAAGCAAACCCUCAAGGACUAUGGCAUCAACGUGAAGAAUGUGCCUCUCCUCUGUGACAAUGAGAGUGCCAUCAAGAUUGCUCACAACCCAGUUCAGCACUCGAAGACAAAGCACAUUCAGAUUCAUCAUCAUUUUCUUCUUGAUCAUGUGUUGAAGGGCGACAUCUCCAUCGAGCACGUGAAGACUGAAGAACAGCUAGCCGAUAUCUUCACAAAGCCCUUGGAUGAGAAGAGAUUUAGCAAGUUGCGGUGUGAGCUAAAUAUCUUAGAAUCUUCGAAUGUUCUUUGAAAAGGACACACAUCCUGACACUUAUGCAAAAUUGAUGACUUAGAUGUGCAACACAUGAAGAAACGUUUUUCUUCAAUCAAUGAAGAAUAACACUCUAAGUGUGAAGAAAUUAAUGAAGAAUUUGAUUCUCAGAACCCUACGACAAUUGUACGCGGUGUCUGAAUUCAUCAUUCUUAUACGGUGGGUCACGCCACCACCAAAGUUGAAAAUCUUCAUUUUUGAAAUUCCUCAAUUUUUUUUUAAAUUCUUCAGUUUUUCAAAUUCUUCAACUUUGCAAAAUCUUCACUGGUUCUGAUGUUUUUCUUCAUUGGGUAUAUAUAUAUAUAUAUAUAUAUAUAUAUAUAUAUAUGAGUUUAUGUCCUCUACAACAUUCACUUAUGGCUAUUUCUUCAAGUUUCUUCCUCUACUAAGUGAAUGUGAUCGGACCCUUUCCCCUCGAUGCUAUACUCAACCCAAUAUAUUCACAAAUUCUUCAUGUGCGUUCUAUUUGAAACUCGUUCAAAAUCUUCACUGUGUCCUUGACAGCUGAAGAAUAUGCGAACGGAACUUUAAACUAAUCUUAUCCAAAUUUUCGGUUUUACCGCUCAAACCGUUCCGGAUCCCACGAUAGACUUAUAUAUUCACCCAUGAUCUAACACGAUCUCCACUUCUCAGUACGUAGGUGACACAUGUCAAGCAAAGGAGAAGGGUCAGGGGCAUGUUCGUCCUAAAUCUUCGGGCAAACAGUUUUUCACUACCACUAUAAAUACCCCCUCUCCCCUUCCUCACUUCCUUUACUCCGCUCGACCUCUCUCUCUCUCGCUCGAGCUUCUCAAACCCUAGCGCUGCCACUACUCCAUCGUCGCCGGUGAGGAAGAUCUUCACUGCCUCGACCUUGUCACCGUCGUACUUGCGCCGACCGCGGAAAUCUUCACUCCGCCGCCGCCAUAGCUGUCUUCCUCUACCGAGUUAGGGCGUGGAAGAUCUACACCGACGAACUUCACUGUUCUACUUCACAGUUUGUCGUGUUCUUCAUCAAGGGUAAUUAAAAGUUACUUUUAGUGCCCUCUUUGAUUCAGUUUUUCACAAAAAAAAAUCUUCAAAGGUGUUUUAUUCUUCAAAUCCUCACACACAAAACACCUCACUAGUUAUCUGUUCUUGAUUGGUUUCUCUAAGCAUCAUUUUUCUUCAAGAUUCCUCAAUUGUGUGGAUCCUCAAUCUAUACAACUCUGGAACCUAAGACAAAGAAUGCUUAGUGAAAUUCUUCAAGGCUCGUCUGGUCAAAUUCCUCAAACUUGUUCUUUUUGAAAAAAAUCUUCUGAGAACGCAUAUGACCUCUCCAAAUUCCUCGCAACUAUACUCUGUUCACAGGUACUCAUGUCCGCUGCUAAAUCACUAGGUUCUCAUCAACUUAACUCAUUUGUAGCGUUCCUCGAAGAAAAGUUGCAUACUUCUUCAGAGAAUUCGAUUGUUCAAAUUCCUCAUCUAAAGAAUAUGGCUGAUGGUAAGAAGCCGCAGAAAGGAGGAAAGAAGCCUGAGGUCAUGACUACUUUUGAAAUCCCUGAGGACCUAUAUACUGACUAUUGCACACCUGAUGAGGCCGAGUUCGGAAAAUAAAGCAAAACUCAGCGCAAGGUGCGCAUACAGAGGAUUGAACGGAGAUGGGCAAGAGAAUGGAGGGAGUACAUAUAUGUUACUCCAAAGUAUAUGAAGAAAUUCGCACUUAAUCCUCCAUGCCCAAGAGCUCCAUUGGCACCUGGCCAAGAAGCUGACCCCACCAUCAUCAAGCGUGGUGAGGACUUUCCUGAAGAAUGGGCCAAACGCCAAGGCAAGUUGGCAAGACAAUCCAAAGAAGCAGUGAGGAAAUUCAAUGAAGACUCUGCUACUGCUGCUGCCACUGAGGCCUCUGUCAGGCCAAGAAAAUCAAUGGCAAAGAAGCCCGCUCACAAGCCAAGUGCUUCACCAACUAUGCCCUCAUGGCCAGAUUCUUCAAAGCCCUCAUGGCCAGUUCCAAAUGCUGCUCCUGCUCCUCCAAAGUCCUCUGCUCCUCCUCCAAAGUCCUCAGCUGCUCCGGCAAAGUCCUCAACACCUGUACAUCUGGCCACGUGCCAAAGGACAACAUGCAUCUCUAUUGCCUCUGGUGCCUCAGCAAGUUCCUCAGCUGCACCAAAAUCUUCAUCAGGCCCCACUCUGUUGAAGACAAAGGCCACAGCUGGUCGAGGUCCUCGGCCAAGUCCGAAGAAGAAACAGGUUGCCUUCCAAGUGCCAUCUGACGAUGAAGCUGAUGAUGAUGAACUUGCAGAAAUCAUCAGAGACCGACAAGAAAGGGCCGCUAGAGCCAAAGGCACAAAUGUGCCACUGCUUUUGGAUCCAAGGGCGAUCCUAGAUUACAUUGAUCUCUGGCACAAGGACCCAAACACUCCUAUGCCUGAUUUCAAUCUUACUUCUGGUCAAAGUCACAUGCUGACCCAUUUCAUCACUGAAGAGAAAUGGAAAUUUGAGAAGGCCAGGCAGAUCAAGAAGACUCAGUUCAAAAAGGAGAAGUUCCUGAAGAAUAACGUUGUCAAUAUGACAACUGAUGAACUCCUCAAGAUCCAAGCUGAAAUCAAAGCCCUCAACGAUGAUUUCAAUGCUUACUAUGCUGAUUGGCAAGGAGCCAAAGUCAGGUUUGUGAAACUGACUGAGAAAUUCACAAAUGUUGCAGCCCCAUCGCAACAAGAAAUUCCUCAAGCUGAAGCGUCUGCUCAGCCAACUGAAGAACAUGCCAGCACCGCUGAUGACAUUCAGGCUGCUGAUGAAAAUGCUAGUUCCAGGGUUGAUGACUCCAUUCCCAGCCGUUGAAGAAAUUGCCAGGGCAUCCACUAGUGGUGCGCCUGAUGAAACUGAAGAAGUCAGGGCAACUGCAUCAGUUGCGCCUGAGGAAAUUCAACCAGAUUCCGCAGCUCCUCCAGCGCCUACACCAACUCCUAUUCUUCCAUAUGCAUCAGAUGUGAGGAAGACCAAGGCUGCAGAGCGAGCUGCAGUGAAGAAAAGGAAAGCAUCCAGUGCUUCAGAAUCUUCAGCUCCAAAGAAGAUGAAGCCUUUGACAAGCUCUAUUGAAAAUCCAAUUGAUGCUAUUCCGAUUUCCACCAUGCCAUCAAAGGACCUUGUUCCUUUUGGUGAGGAAUAUGUGAUCCCUAGCGGAUCUGAUGAAGAACCUCAAUCUGCUGCUUCGUCAGAGUAGGUUGAUGAAGAAAUUGAAGUGGAUACGAUCUCUUCAACGAAUGUUGCUUCCUCGCCAAUGCCUCAGUUCAUAGCUGAAGAGGCUGGCGUUGAAGAAAAUGAAGAUGAAGACAUGGACAUUGGCUGCACAACGCCCGUGAUGAAUGAUGACUUUUGGGAAAGUCAGCACCCCAAUUCCCCACUCUUCACCCCACUUCAACAAAUACCUCAGUCCCCUGCACCAACUGUUCAAAUGGGCUCUGAAGAAACUCAUCCCACUUCAUCUGUCCAUGAAGAAAUUCCAGCCGCUAGUGCUGAAGAAUUUGCUAUUGUUGAACCUUUGAACACGUAGACUGCAACUGAAGAGGAACCAGAAAUUCCUCAGCCUGAAGAACCUGAGAUUGCAAUUCCUGAGGUUGUGAUGCAACUCACUGACACUCCAGUGCCCAAGCCAACGGAUCCAUUCUCAAAGAAGCAAAAGUUCAAGGCUGAAGAUUUCUUCAGCGAGCAUGUGUUCUUCACUGACUAUAACCCCUAUGACUCUGCUCGCAUAAGGAAGAGGCGUUUCUGGACUGCUAGUCAAGCCAAUUUCUAUUCCUCAGUAGUGUUCAACAAAGACAAAGUCUUCGAUCAUGAACAUAUCCCUCAUGUGGACAUGGAGUAUUUGCCGUGCUUCGAGCCAGUCCUCAGUGUUCUUCACGAUGCUGGAUUGCUAAAUUUCUGCACUGACAUCUGUGAUUGGAAUGAAGAACUCAUUCUUCAAUUCUAUGAAACGCUGCACAUCACAGGAAACUCUGAAGAUGUGAAUUCAUGGGUGCUGAACUGGAUGUCUGAAAAUACUCACUACAAGGCAUCAACAACUGAAUUGCUUCAUGCCCUCCCACUCAGUCCUCCCCUUGAUGGUGCUCAUUGCGUCUACAGUGAACCUGAGCUUUCCAAUCAUUUCAUGCAAGUGCUAAUGAAGCCUUUGAAACCAGGGUAGGCUCCUCGAACCAAAUUCCUCGUCAAGGAAUUACUAUAUGUGCCUCGGACUGUCUAUCGCAUUCUGACGAAGACAAUGAGUCCUAUCAAAGGCCAUGACUCAAAUGAUGAAGAAGUCGUUGGCAUCAUGAAGAACAUGCUUUUCAAUAUCAUUCAUUGCGUUCCCGUCAACUUCCAUGAUUUCUUCAUGAGGACUCUGGCGAAUAUUGCUAUGUCACCAUUUGAGCUGAAGCCUUAUGCACCAUGGAUUAUGAGAUUCAUCAGGACAAGGGCUUCACUAAAUUACAAACCUGACACUCUGAACCAUGGCAGCUACUUGCCUCCAAUUGAAGUCCUCAAACGGACAUAUUCCUCAACUGAUGACAAAGGCAAGGCAACUGCUGUGAUAGAUGAAGGCAUUCGUCCAUUGGAUGGUCAAUUUCGCAAGGCUGCAUCCUACUCCACCAAUGAUGACUCUGCCACACAUGACUCUGCCGCCAAGCAAAAUCCUCAAGCCACAGCACCUAGGGUGAUGACUGAUCGUGAGUUACUCCUCAGUCUUCAUCAGAAAGUUGAUCGCAAUCAUAAAUGGGUCAAGCGUCAGUUUGGUUCAAUUCUUCACAACAUGACCUCAACACACAAUGCAGUGAAGAAAAACCACUACUGCCUCCAUGAAACCUUCAACCGUACCUAGGCUGUUCUAUCUCAUGUCUACAGUGCUGAUGAUCUGAAGAAAAUGGGUCUCAAGGAAGAAUUUGACUGGUCUGCACCUCCACCGAAGAAAUUCAAGAAGGUCAAGGUUCCUUCCUUGGUGGCCAGCUCCUAUUCUUCAUCGCGCGAGACUGAUGAAAAUGAAGAUUUGGACGACACUGCGGCAGGCCCUACUAUGACAACCGACCCCGACGCUGGCGCUCCUCCAUCAACUUGAUAUUCUUCAGGGGCGUUAGUCCUCAGUUUCGACCCUUUUUGGUCAUUCAAUGACAAAGGGGGAGAAAUUUGAGUUAGUCUUCAAGCGGGUCUAUUAUAUGGGCGUUUUUGCUAAGUUACAACUCUCGUUCUUCUGAAACUUUAUUGGAUCGAGUUGUAAUCUUAAACCCGAUGGUGCCCUGAUACUUUUGAUGCACUGUGCUUUGAUACUCUUGAUACAUUAUUCUGCAUGCUUGUUCCUCAUUAACAUUAUUGCACGCAUGUUGAAUUUCAUCAGGUACCAUAUUUCAUCAUGCAUUUCAAAUUCUUCAUAUUAUAUGUCAAAUGCGUGUAUGAAUUACAAGAUAUAGGGGGAGAUCUCCAUGAUUUAACUCUUCAAGUGUGCAUUGCUUCAAAAGCAAUUUCCUCACUAUGCACAUCUUCAGGGGGAGUUCUUCUAUAUCUUGCAAUCAAAUUCCUCAAUAUCAGUACUUACACUUCAUAUGUUUAUCCCCGUUGAAAACUUAACCUAUAUUGUCAUCAAUCACCAAAAAGGGGGAGACUGUAAGUGCAUCUAGUGCCCCUUAGUGAUUUUGGUGUAUUGAAGACUUAUAGGUUAAGGGACUAAUGCGUUUGUGAGUGUACAUAGGUCUAUAAGUCUAUGAGGAGUUUAAUAUUUACAGAGAAAGUUGACCCCUAAAAAUGAAUAUCUUCGACUGAAGAUUUUGGUAUUCCUGAAGACUUUCAUGAAGACUUUGAAAGUGAAGAAAUUGGUGUGUCCGUGAAGACUUGAUAUUCAUGCGAGGAAUAUGAAGCUUGAAGACUUUCGUUUUCAUAGUUUUGUUUUUCUCUUUCUUGAGUCAUAGGAAACACCAUACUGUUAAAAGGGGUCGAGGAAAUACUAAGGAAAAAUUUCCAAGUGAUGCUCAACUCAAAAUUAUACACCUACCAAACCCUUCGAGUGAAGCCUUUGGAAAUCUCAUACAGUUCAGUCAAUUUCUUCAGUGACAGAGACGAAGUUCUUCUAGUCGCUGAGGAAUUUGUUCUGACUGAGGAGUUAGGAAUUCGCAAUGCGGAUUGCCUACACAGUGAGGAACAUGAUAGACCUGAGGAAUUUGAGAGUCAAAUUUCCGGCCGUUGCUGUGCUACGCGCCAGCUGUCCCAAAAUAUCUUAUCCACCUAACGGUCAUAUCAGACAAGGGCAUUUAUGUCUUAUCAUGUCGGGCUGCUCCCUAGGCUAUAAAUAGCCGCCCCCUACAACCACUAGUUGGUUGGCUGCUCUGAGAGAAACUGACACUUGUCAUUUGAGAGCAACCCAUCCUCCGAGGACUUUGAGCAAAAAUCAUCGAGUGAGGAAAAACUCAAACCCCAAACACCUACAAACCCAAAAGUGAUUUAGCAUCACUGAAGAGAUUGAUCCUGCGUGGAUCCGACGCUUGUUACCUUUGAAGACUGUGCUUCUUCCAGACGGUUAGGCGUCAUGGUCUAGAGCAUCCAAGAGGAAUUGUGGAUCGCCGAGUGACCGAGUCUGUGAAGGUUUGGAAGUUGCUUGAAGACUUACCACGAGUGAUUGGACGAGGUCUGUGUGACCUUAGUUCAAGGAGAAUACGGUGAGGACUUGGUGUCCUGAGCUGCAUGCUCAGCGACUGGGUGUUCGAGACUGUGUGUCCUCGAGUUUAAAUACUCAGCCGCUCCAACCAGACGUACAACUGAGACAGCAAUUGGAACUGGUCUACCAAAUCAUUGUCUUCACCAACCUUACUGGUUCUAUUUCCUCAACUCUUUCAAUUCCUCAUUAUUGUGUUGAGUGAUUGUUCAUAUCUGUUUUUGAAGACUUUAACUGAAGACUUUCUCAAUUUCCUCAGUUCAAUUUCUUCAGCCUGUUUGUCUUCAUCUUGUGUUAUCCUGUGUUUACGCUUCUUGUACUCUGUGUAUGUCUUCAUUUCAUCAUGAUGGCUAUGUCUGUAUCCUGUUAUGCUUACUUCUGAGUACUUAUUCCGCUGCUAGUAGUUCUUCGCUAAGGAAUUUCCUCACCGGCAAAUUCCUCAGUGAAGAAUUCAUAAAAAUCGCCUAUUCACCCCCUCUAGUCGAUAUAACGCACUUUUAGAUGCCCUUCAAUUUUGCACUUGAAGCAAAUAAUCUUGGCCGAAUUCUUAACUUGCUCUUGGCCCUUCUUCUUGAUUCUCUUGGAUUUCUUCUUCUUAUUGGAGUUGAAUCCAAGUCCACCUUUGUCAUUGGGGGAUUUUUGCACACUGAAGAUAUUGUUGAGUGUGGAAUUCCCUUCAUGACCCUUUUCCAAGUCUUUCUUCAAAGAUGUGACUUGGGCCUUGAGCUCUUUGAUUUCCUCUACAUGGUUAGUCUCAACACAAGUACUAUAGGAAGUAUAAGCUUCAUUGUUAGAGCAACAAGGCAAGGAAAGCAAUUCAUCACAAGAUGUACCAACAUUGUAGUAGAAGAAUUACAAGGACUAGCACAUGGCAAUAUACUAUCUUGACUAGAAGUAGUGCUAGUAUCCACAUGAGGCUCACUAGAUGUUACCUUAGCAAUCAUGGCCUCAUGAGCUAUCUUUAGCACACUAUGGGAUACUAGAAGAUCAUCAUGAGAGCUUGAGAGCUUUUCAUGACUUUCUUCCAAUUUCCCAUAAUUGCUAGAUAGCACGUCAAGUUGAGCCAGUAGCUCAACAUUCUCCUUCAAAAUGGAUGCUUCACAAGUAAUAGAGUUAGUAGCACAAGCAUCAUCAUUUACAACAAUAGGAGAGGACAACUUGGCAAGCUCUUUUAAAUAAGAAGCUUCAAGUUGGGCAUGAGACUCGGUGAGUUUGAUGAGCUCACCCUUGAUGACCCUUGAGCCAUUUUCGAGGUGCUCAAAAUCCUCAAGGAGUCUAGCAUGAGAAACUUCAAGCUUAGCAUUUCUAGUUUUGAAAUCAUUGGCCACCUCAAGAGCUCUAUGAUGAGAUUCCCUCCCUCUAGAUAAUUCUAGAGUAAAAGUCUCCUCAAGAGAUUCAGAGGUGGCUUGUUCAUGUUCAAGAGCUUGAGAUAGCUCCGCGAUCUCAUUUGCGUAAUCACACUCAAGAGCUUCCAUUUUCUUAAUGGUGACCUCAUGCUCCUCUAGACGAGAUUCCAACUCCUCAAUGUAUUUCUUUCCAUCAAUGGCAAUGGACAUUAUUUCCAUGAAGUUGGAACAAGCAAUUUUAUUUUUAUGAAGAGCUUUAAAAAUCAUUUCCCCCUUAAUUUUUAAGGAUGCAACAUUAUCAUUCUCUUCAUCAUUAUCCUCAUCAUCAUUAGCAUCAACAUCAUCAUCAAGAGACAUAUUGGGGUACAAAGUAGGAGAUACCUUUGACGCCUUAGCCAUAAGGCAAAAAGCAAUAGAUGAUGAUGUAGGAUCCCUUGAGGCACCAUUAAACACCACAUCUUGUUCCAUGGAGUGUUCGGUUUCCUCUACAUUGUUAGCACAACAAUUCGAGGAAAUAGAUGCAUUUUUAUCAUGGAAACAAGACAUAGCAAGCAUAUCAUCAUGAGAUUUAGUCGAGCAAUUUCUACAUGAUAUGCAAGGACUAUCAACACAAGCAUGUGAAACAUUUGGAGUGCUCGAAGUGUUAAAGUCCAAAGAAGGAGCAUUGCAAUAAUAUAGUGAUGAAGGAUCAUCCACAAUAAGCAUACUAUCAUCAUUGCAAUGACCAACACUACUCACCAUAUCAUUACCUUUUGGCAAACCACAUGUAGGUGAAGUAGAAGAAGUUGAGAAGACUAUACGGCCGGAGGUGGAGGGAGAAAAAUCAUCUCCACAAAUCUUGGACACACCAUAUUUAUCUUGAAGCUUCAUCCACAACUCAUGAGCAUCCCAGAACGACAUGAGUUGAAAUAUAACUACAUUGCUCAAAGCAUCGAAAAGCACAUUAGAAUCUUGAACAUUGAGAUAAGAGUUUUUCUCAUCCUCUAAAGACAAUCUUUGGGGAUCCUUUGGAGGAGAAAACCCCAUAUCUACAAUUCACUCUAAAUUUGGGUCCAUGACCCUAAAGAAAUUAAGCAUGCGAAUUACCCAAACAUCAAAAUUUGUGCCAUUGAAACUAAGAGUGUCAAAGAAUGCUAAUCCCCUAGUCGAGAUCUUUACUCUCUGGGCGGUUAAGCCCAACAAAGAGAGACGAGGCUCUGAUACCAAUUGAAAUAUCGUGGAUGUCGCCUAGAGGGGGGGGGGGUGAAUAGGCGCUUUAAAAUAAUUACGGUUUAGGCUUGAAGAAAUGCGGAAUAAACCUAGCGGUUAAUUUGUCAAGCACAAAACCUAAAACAACUAGGCUCACCUAUGUGCACCAACAACUUAUGCUAAGCAAGAUAAGUAACUAUGUGAUAGCAAGAUAUAUGACAAAGAACAAUAUGGCUAUCACAAAGUAAAGUGCAUAAGUAAAGGGCUCGGGUAAGAGAUAACCGAGGCACGCGGAGACGACGAUGUAUCCUGAAGUUCACACCCUUGCGGAUGCUAAUCUCCGUUUGGAGCGAUGUGGAGGCACAAUGCUCCCCAAGAAGCCACUAGGGCCACCGUAAUCUCCUCACGCCCUCGCACAAUGCAAGUUGCCGUGAUUCCACUAAGGGACCCUUGAGGGCGGUCACCAAACCCGUAAAAAUGGCGACCCUUGGGGGCGGUCACCGAACCCGUACACUUUGGCAACCCUUGGGGGCAGUCACCGGUACCCGUCAAAUUGCUCGGGGCGAUCUCCACAACCUAAUUGGAGACCCCGACGCUUGCCCAGAGCUUUACACCACAAUGAUUGAGCUCCAAAGCACCACCAACCGUCUAGGGCGCCAAAGCACCCAAGAGGAACAAGCUCAAGGGCACCAAGCACCCAAGAGUGAUAAGCUUCUCAACUUGAAACUUCCAUGUAUCACCGUGGAGAACUCAAACCGAUGCACCAAAUGCAAUGGCAAGGGCACACGGAGUGCCCAAGUCCUUCUCUCCCAAAUCCCACCGAAGCAACUAAUGCUAGGGAGAAAAAUGAGAGGAAGAACAAGAAGGAGAACACCAAGAAUUCCAAGAUUUAGAUCCAAGGGGUUCCCCUCACAUAGAGGAGAAAGUGAUUGGUGAAAACUGAAUCUAGAUCUCCUCUCUCUUUUCCCUCAAAAACUAGCAAGAAUCCAUGGAGGGGUUGAGAGAUAGCAAGCUCAGAGAAGGUCAACAAUGGGGGAAGAACACGAGCUCAAAGGAUAAGGUUCAAUGGGGAAAAAGACACCCUUUUAUAGGUGGAAAAAUAUCCAACCGUUAAGCUCACAGCCCGCACAGAGCGGUACUCACUACAAAAAAAAUACACUUCCGUGAUGAUACGUGUUUGUCACAGUAGGUCGCGUUUUUUGUCAUGCAUGUACAUCCAUGACAAAUUUAUGACAGAAUCAAGAUAGUCAUACCUGUGCUGUCGUAGAAGUGUUCCAUGACAUUGCCAAAAUUAUCAUCACGGAAGUGUCCACUUCCAUGACGAUAAAUCGCGCGUCACAGAAGUGCUUUCGUCAAGGGUGACUGACACGUGGCAUCCACCAUAACGGAACGCCGUUAAGCUAUCGGGUCGGGUUUUGGAUCCGAUAACCCGUUAACAGCCCCGACCAAUGGGGAUUUUCCACGUGUAAAAUCAUCAUUGGCUGGAGGAAACACGUGUCGGCUCGUUGUUGGGACAGAUGUCAUCCAUUCAUUGGACAGAAGGCACCUAUGAUACGUCGACACAUGGCACGGCCCAAUAGAGGCCCAUUCAUGUGAAAAGGACUACCCAUUUGACUUGGUCAAAAGGUGACGGGCCGGCCCAUGGAAAGCCUGUUAACGGCCUGUUCGCAUAUAGCCCAUUUACAGCCCGCUAACCCAAGGCCCAUUACGCCCUAUCUGAAUUAGGCCCAGUAGCGUCAUCUGGGCCAUCCAAUAUGAUUCCAGCCCGUUUUCACUUCUGGCCCAUGUAUGGCCCAUGACGUCUUUCGGCCCAUAUGAGGCCCUAUGUAACUCUUGGCCUAUUAACGGCCCAUGGUGAAACUGGCCCGCAAUGAACAAUGUAUCACUUUAGACCCAUUAACGGCCCGUGGUGAAACUGGCCCGUAAUGAACAGUGUAUCACUUUAUACCCAUUAAGGGCCCGUUAUUCAGUUGGGCCGUUUCUAGCCCAUGUUAUCUUUCGGCCUUCUCAGAGCCCAUUUAUUCUUGGGCUCAUUUCGAGCAUUCGUUUACUUACGGCCCGUUACUGUCAUUUUCUACUUGUGGGCCAAAUUCAGCAUGUGGUUACAGUCGGCCCAUUUGUGGUCCGUUAAUACAUUGGGCCAUUUUCAUAGCGUCAUCAAAUAAAGCCUAUUAACGAUGGCCCGUUAUGGUCAGCCCAUGAACGGAUGAUUCCAACUCUACCUUGUUUACGGCCAUAAUGCGGCCUGUUAUUGGCCCAUGUUUGGCCAAUCGAUCAUACGGCCCGUAUAAGGCCCAUUGAUGAUACGGCCCGUAGAAGGCCCAUUGUUUCUACGGCCCGUAGAAGGCCUACUGUUUCUACGGUCCAUAGAAGGCCCACUAUUUCUACGGCCCGUAGGAGGCCCAGUGUCACUACACUAAAUAUUAGCCCAUGGUUAUUGUGGCCUAGUUUUAAAAAAAUAGGUUAUUACAGCCACUAGCAAACUGCGGAAAAAGAACUGCACUGACUACAAGCAAACAAAUAAACAAGACAACAAGGAAAUAAAUAAGCAAGCAACUUAUGCUAGGCUAUCACGGCUAUUACACAUAUUACAUCCACUGGGCAUCAAAGUUCACCACCAGUGCAAAUAUAGGGAACACAGCAACAUAUAAACACCGCAGCAAAACAAGUCCAGAACUGAAACCACUUCAGAAGAGUUUAAGAAACAAUAUCCUAGGUACCCAUAAUGCUGGCAAGAUGCUUAGCAAGAUUAUUAACUUUCUCUUGUUUGGCGCUUAAAUCCUCCAGCGCUUGCUGUUGCAUAAGAAAGUACGCAUCUGAAUUCUGCAGGGACUUCCUCAGUCCUUCGGCUUCUUGCCGCAGCACAGCUGACUGAUGCCUUUCAGCUUGUAGCUGAGACUGAAGAAGUCGAAGUGAUUCAGGCAGCAAGUUCGAAGAGCUUGUGCCAGCGGUACUGGCCAGUAACUGGAACACUACAUCAACGCAGGACUGUGGGGUUUUCUCACUAUCUACAAGAUCGUUUUUAUCACCUUUCUUGGAGACCAACAGGGUUGUCUCACUAUCUUGAACCUUAUCCGCAUUACUUUCUCUACCAUACAUAGUGGGGUGCUCUUCUCCAAUAUUUUGUUUGCAUACUACAAGAGAAACAAGCAGACACAUCACAGGUUUAGCUUGUAGUAUACCAAACUCAUUUUGGUAAACCGGUUCAGUAGUAAGGUGGACAGGAUAACAGCAUGAAAACAAACAUAUAGCUAUGUACUAUGGUCACUGUAUUGUCCAUAUCAUUCUAGUUUAUGUUCCCUAAUCAAGAUAGAGACACAGUUCAACUCAUACAUUUUUAAGACACAGCAGCAUAGACAAAAUAUAAGUGUGAGAAACUACACAACAUUGGCAUCACUUGUAAUGUGCAUCACAUGAGAACAUAACUGUUUAUACAACUUAAACUGAAAUCAACAUAGAGCAAGAAGUUAGAACAGCAAUCCAGUUAAAGAAAUAGGUUUAAAACAAACCUGUUGCGCCAUUGGAGUUUCAAUUGGAUCCUUCAAAUUCGAAAGUAGUUGUUAUGAGUAAAUACAGUGAUGCAACAGCAAAGGAGUAUGGACAUAGCAGAUAGAAUUCAAUAUUGCGCAUAUGAUGUCUAAACUAAGCAAUGCAAUACACCAUAUGCAUCAUAUGAGAAAUAUAAACAUUGCAACUUAGAGCAUACACCUCAGGUGGGAUAUAGGACUGGUCAUCUGUCUCUGAAUCCUCCUCUGAGGAGCUCCCUGUAACCAUCGAGAUAUAUGCUUCAACAGGUACCAUUGCCUGCUCUGAAGACCUUGUUUUCACUCCAGAUUUUUCCAUAACCGGCUCAAAUGGCUGAUACACAUGAAGAGUAGUUCAAUAUACACAGAUUGUCGACAAAUGGAAUACAUAAUGAAAAAAAAGAUGGCAUGAGAUAAUUCACAUAUAUGAUGCCUGGCUCCAUGGCGGUGCAUAAUUCACAUAUAUGAUAACUAGCUCAAAAACAUGGCAUUGCAUAAUUCACAUAUCUGAUAUAGAAAGCAAACAGGAGGAAUUCACACAAAGCAUGUCUAAUCUAAGCAGAUGGCAUGGCAAUGCAAGACACCAUAUGGAUGAUAUGAGCAAUAUAACCCAGCCAAGUUAGAUCAUGCACCUCGGGGGGGGGGAAUAUGACUGGUCAUCUCUCUCUGAAUCCUCCUCUGAGGAGCUAUCUGUAACCAGCAAGAAAUCUGCAUCGACAGGUAGCACUGACUGCUCAGAAGACCUUGUUUUCACUCCAGAUUUUCCCAUGACCGACUCAAAUGGCUGAUGCACAGGAAGAGUAGAUGAAUGUAUAAACAUUGUUGACAAAUGGAAUACAUUAUGGAAAAAAAUAUGGCACGAUACAAUUCACAUACACGAUGACUGGCUAAACAGGAUGGCAUUGCAUGAUUCACGUAUAUGAUGCCUGGCUAAAGAAGAUGGCAUUGCAUAAUUCCCAUAUAAUCCCUCCGUUCCUAAAUAUUUGUAUUUUUAGAGAUUGCAAAUGGACUACCACAUACGGAUGUAUAUAGACAUAUUUUAGAGUGUAGAUUCACUCAUUUUGUUCCGUAUGUAGUCACUUGUUGAAAUCUCUAAAAAGACAAAUAUUUAGGAAUGGUGGGAGUAUGAUAUAGAAACCAAACAGGUGGCGUUCACACAAAGCAAAUCUAAACUAAACUGAUGACAUAUAAGAUGUAUAAUGUAAGCAAUGCAAGGCGCCAUAUGCAUGAUAUGACCAAUAUCAGCAUGCCAUGUUAGACCAAACACCUCAGGUGGUAAACAGGCAUGGUCGGCUCCUUCUGAAUCUCCAUCUGAACAGUUAUCUUCCUCUGGAAUACAAUCUGGAAAUGCAGGAGAGGGGGGGGGCACUUCGCCCACCAUGGAGCAGUGUCUGCAUGACAUUAUAUUCGCACGCAACGGUCUUCUCUUUUUCUCUACAUGUUCAGUACGAUUGUGUACAAUAUCUGACAUGCAUAAUAAAAAAAGUAGUUAGAUUUUGUAAGGCCUAAGGGGUGCAUGCAAAAAUCAAGACUGAUGGUAGCAAACGAGUGGAUGGAUCCAAAACUAAUGAUAGCAGGUAGAUUAUAGCUUCAGUUUAAAAAGAUAGACAAUCGAUCAUCUAUUGUUUGUUGGCCACCCAACAUGAACCACAUAGAAGACCCCAGAUGAACCAGAUAGUAGACAGAUACUAUUCGUUGCUGGCUCGAUAUGAGACCCAUGGGCAAUUCAAAACUCAAGAUUGAACGAUAAAGUAGCAGGUAAUAAUAACCGAUGUAUAACGUAAGCAAACAUGAAAGACUGCGACCUCUCUUCCGAAACUGUGUAGUCCUCAGGUUCAUCUGCUCAGUCGAUGAUGGUAAUGCAGUUGGCGUGGCUGCCGGCAACGGGGAAGAUGAUCUGAGGCGGCGAAAGAAAGUCUGCAGGGGGGAUCUCUGCUGCAGUGAACGCUUCUGUCGAUAGUGCACCUCAGGUGCGGUGGAUGACAGCACGGAAGGAGCAGGACAUAACACAUAGAGUUUUCUUUGACGCCAAUCUGAAAAUGAAGUAAAUCUGUAAGGGCUCCUUAGAAUUGGAGGAUUCUAUAAACGCAGGGGCAGGAAAAACACAGGAAUAGGAUAGGAAUGCACGUGCAAAACAGAGCAUUUGGAAACAUAGGAUUUCAGUCAACCUGGGUGUUUGGCUCACAUGAAUUGGAAGAACAGAGGAAUGGAGAAACAAAGUGAUGCGACGACUGUACAACCUCUUUGGCAUAGCCUUGUGGACCUCAGCAUCAUUGGGUUGGACGUGGAGGAUGGUGAUGAUGCUGGUGUGACUAUCGGAGGCGGGGAAGAAGAUCUGAGGCCUCUGGAAACGGCGGCGAGGGUACUGCUCCGCUGUGAUGGACGGUUCCAUCGUUGGAGCAGCUCCGCUGAGGUGUAUGGCGACGAGGCUGAAGCAUGACAAGAUAGACAACUUUAAUCUGAAGUGGGACCCUAAUAUCAUCUGUAACAGAUGAUGUAAAAUACAUCACCAAAAAGUGCUAGAUGUAAAAUGCAUCAGCCGCGCCACGGCUGCUCCGACAGAUGUUGUAAGUACUGUUCACUCUGAACUUAACUGAAGAAAAUGAACUUCACAGUCGAAACUGAAUUUUACUGUCGAAACUGAUUGAACUAGUAACAGAGCAUUGCAAUAGAUGUUUAGGGCGUUAGAGCAGUAGUAGCAGAGAAGCAGUGAUCUAAAUCAGCAGACGCUCAAGCAGGGAACGCACUAGCAAAGAGCAAGUCGUGCAGUAGCACCGGGAGCGAGUGCUAAAGCAGCAACUCCUGUAGCUGCCGGAGGUCGUGCAGUAGCAGCAGCAGCGCAAGCGAGAGCAAGAGUAGAGUAGCAGCACGAACGAAAGCAGGAGCUGUGCAGCAGCGCAACCGAUAGCAAGAACAGAGCCGCAACGCGAGCGAGAGCCGGAGCACCUGCAUCUAGUGCCGUUGUGGAGGUCGCUGCCGAGGAAGCAACGACAUGGGGCAGAGAUGUCGUGGAUGAUGUGGCCGGCGACGGCGCCGUCGAUGGAGACGCCAUGUCUGCUCGGUAUCGAGCACCGGCAGCCCCGUGAUAUCGAAUAAAAGAUAAAAUGCAGCGGUGAGUGCAGAACCUCCUUGGUGGCACCGAGUUGGCCUCGGCUUCAUCGGAGGAAUUGGUGAGGUUGCUGCGGUUCCGGUGGGGCAGGUCAAGACGGCGCUGUGGGGAUUGAGGUGGCACGAUAGAUGAGGCGAACGUCGGGGCAGCUCCUUGGAGGUGGAGGACGGGGCGGCUGAUCCGGCGGGACAACGAGAUCGACAACGGAUCCUCAUCCGGUGCGGUGGAUGAGGGAUGGCGAGAUGUUGCGGUGGACAACAUAGUCGGGGAAGAGUCUCCGGCUGGGCGGCGGUCGGGAGGCCGACGGAGGAGCAUGGGGUUUCGCGGGUUUUGGCGGUUUUGGCGGCCUCGGUGUGCGAAGGGGGAGGGGGGAGCCAAGCUUAGGGACGCGCUUGUCCGAAAUGUAGGGUAAGUUACCAGCGUACCCCCACCGGUUUUGACACCGCGACAUGGAGCUUCAUUUCCGGCUGAGGGGUAGAAGGGGGAUUUUGUGUGUGUGGGCUGCGGGAGCGAUUUUGGAUGAGGAGGGAGUUCUCCCGCGCAUCCAAAUUUCAGGAUAACAAGGCACGGCGCGGGUUGAAGAAGCGGGAGUUUCAAAGCAGGUGAGACAAAAGAUACUCGAGCUUGAAAAUUUCGGGAUAACAAGGUGCGGAUUCCUUGUUCGGCAGAACAAACUUAACGUGUAAAAAAAAUCAUACAAGACACAAGAGAGUCAUGUCCCCUUUUACUAUAUUGCUAUAGAUGCCAUUGAAAAAACUACAAGAAAAAUGUAAAAAAAAUCGGGAGAACAAGAUUACCCUGCACAGUACCAAAUCGAUUCUCACUUCCCUAAACAACAACAAAAAACAAAUCAAUUCCCGCCAAAGAAAGAGUAAUGUCCCCUUUUAUAUGAUUACAGAUGCCAUGAUCUCGAAUUUCAAUUUUUGAAUCCACGUUAUGUUGAAUUUGAAUAUAUCAUUACGUGACCUUGCUAUUUAUAAUUGAUCUAGUCGUACAUUUUGAUCCUCCAUCAUAUAUGAACAUUUUACUCCACCAUGUGAACAUAUAUAUAUUGUCGUCUACCAUAUGGACUAAAUUUGAAUCAAUUUUCCUUAUUUGAAUACGAUUGUUGUCAAGUUAUACAAUAAUUUAAAUAUUAUCUUGAUAACAAAAAGACAUGCAUAUAGCAGUAAUCAUAUUUCACUAUGAGCUACAUGUACCAUACGCUCUCCAAUUCAAAUAUCCGUAUCCAUUUUAUGUUGAAUUCAAAUCAAAGUACAUUAUUGGUCUAGGUAGCGAGAUGUUCGGGAUAAUCUAAACCCUGUUUUCAUAGGUAUAAUUUUUGGCUGAAUUGGGACAAGUUUUGGUAUAAGCCUCUUGCAAAACCAGAGAUUCUCUCAACAAGCCUCGUGGUUCCGAGAGGGGACGUGUCACCUUUGUGUGCGAAAUGAUAUACGCUGCCUCCCCCCUGAUUUUAUUUAUAGAGGCAACAUAGAACUAUAUGAGUUCCCUGUUAAAUUUUGAAAUUAUUUCGGGUUCAUUUGGCCUUUUUAUACAUUAAUUGAGUUUCUGGACUUUUAAUGUGCAUAAUCUAAAUAUGAAUUGCAUGCACAUGCUCCGGUGCACCAAAGUGGGUUGAAAAAUCACAUGUGUGUCCUUGGUUUAAUUUCUAGGUCCCAUGGAAGAAAUGAGAAUGAAAUUCAAACAUCUGGGCGUCAUGACUCUGCCAAGAACAACGAGAAACUUAGAUUUUAAAUUCAUGUAAAUCCAAAACUCGGCUGAAAAUCAUGAAACUUGGCAUGGUGUCAUGUCAUGGCACUAACAUGUUGUGGUAAAAAAUUGGGCUGAUUUUGAAGCUCGUGGUUCUAAGAGGGAACAUGUCACCUUUGGUCAUUUAAUGUGCAUAAGUCAAAUUUGAACUACAAGCACAUGCUCUCGUGCACCAAUGUUGGUUGAAAAAUCACAUUUGUGUCCUCGGGUGAAUUUCUAGGUCCCAUGCAAGAAAUGAGAAUAAAAUUAAAACAUCUGGGCAUCGUGGCUCGGCCGAGAACAUUGAGAAACUUGGUUUUAAAAUUCUUGUAAAUUCAAAACACGUCUGAAAAUCAUGAAACUUGGCAUGGAUGUCAUGUCAUGGUACUACCAUGUUGUGGUAAAAAAAUGGCCGAAUAGGAACAGAUUUUGGUAUAAGCUUCUUGCAAACCGAAGCUUCUCUCAAGAAGGCUCGUGGUUCUGAGAGGGAACAUGUCACCUUUGAGUGCGAAACGGUAUACGUUGUCCCCCUUGAGUUUAUUUACAAAGGCAACAUAGAACUACAUGAGUGCCCUGUUAAAUUUUGGAAUUAUUCCGGCUUCGUUUGGCCUUAUUUACACAUUAAUUGAGUUUUUGGUCAUUUAAUGUGCAUAAUUCAAAUUUGAACUACAAGCACGUGCUCCCGUGCACCAAAGUUGGUUGAAAAAUCACAUUUGUGUCCUCGGGUGAAUUUCUACUCCCAUGCAAAAAAUGAGAAUAAGAUUUAAACAUCUGGGCAUCGUGGCUCGGUCGAGAACAUUGAGAAACUUGGUUUUAAAAUCAUGAAACUUGGCAUGGUGUCAUGUCAUGGUAGUACCAUGCUGUGGUAAAAAAAAUUGGCCAAAUAGGAACAAAUUUUGGUAUAAGCUUCUUGCAAAUCGGAGCUUCUCUCAAGAAGGCUCGUGGUUCUAGGAGGGAACGUGUCACCUUUGUGUGCAUAAUUCCAAUUUGAAAUACAAGCACAUGUUCCAGUGCACCAAAGUUGGUUGAAAAAUCACAUGUGUGUCCUCGAGUAAAUUUCUAGGUUCCAUGCAAGAAAUGGGAAUGAAAUUCAAAAUUCUGGGCGUCGUGGCUGGGUUGGAAACAUUGAGAAACUUAGUUUUUUAAUUCCUGUAAAUCCAAAACACGCAUGAAAAUAAUGAAACUUGGCUUGGUGCCAUGACAUGGCACCAACAUGCUGUGGUAAAUUUGCAGUCCGAUUUGCGAAGGCGCACACAUUAACAAUCAACAGAGUCAUUUUGGAACAAGUGCUGUCACGUUACAAUCGGAAACACAAGUAUUAUUGAAACCCUGGGUGUUCUACUUACUAGUACCAUUUACGUGCCGCCACGUGUCCCCAUUUUUUAUUAGCUAGGAGGCGCCGUGCAGGGUAGCUAUUUGAGUACGAGAGGCGUGCGAUCAGACCACUGGGCGUGCUUAUCGGGACGAGAGCCCUUUGACCUCCAUCUGCCGUCCACCUCUCUCCCAAGGUCUCCAUUAAUGGCUCCCGAGCCUCUGUUUAGUGGCGUGGCUAUGUCUCACUCGACUGAGAUUUAAGAGACAAAAAAGAAAAUCUGAAUGCACGGAUCUUAAUGUAAGAUCCGACGGACCUAUAUAGCAUCUACUGUGACUUAUAGCAAGACUGAUGAAUAUAUAAGGACAAUUUUUUUUGAUCAAAGAAGGGCUUGCCCCUUCUGAUUUUCAUUACUGAAAACCACCACAAUUCACAAGAAGUUCAGCACAACUCCAUCCUAACACGAAGGACUAAAAGCUACUCCCUCCGUCCCAUAAAAUAAGACUCUUUUUGACACUAGUAUAGUGUCAAAAAACGCCUUACAUUAUGAGACGGAGGGAGUACCAGAUUGAAAUCGCAACAUCCCAAGAGGCCAACAAAGGCCAAACAUCCGCGCUAGAACCCAACAUUUCACAACCGACGACACAAUCCACAUCCUAAACCGAUUAUUACAUCAAAAGAAACCAGGAAACUGAAGGAAGCCCAACAGCAACUAGAAGAACAGCAACGCCAGGGUCGCCCCAGCAAGAGUUUUCUUCAUUCCAGCCUCGCAACACUCAUCUUCCACAAAAAGAUAAGGAUGAUUAAUUGUCUUACAUAAUUACAAAGAUAAUUAAAAAAGCCACAUGCGGCUACGCCCGAAAUACACAAGGGCAAAAGAAGAAGGAAGACAAGGAUCUGGCUUGCUGAUCUCUACUUUCUUGAUGCGUUGCUGCAGGCCGCAGGAACUAGUCUCCGCGGCGAGCGGUGAUGAGCUCUUUCGUGUCCUCAAGACGCUGCUUGAGAACAUCCAUGGAUUCCUCCACUAGCCUUUGGCGCCCGUUGUGGAGCAUGUCAUUCUCGUCCAUAAGUUUCUUGACGAUGACGCCGGUCCUCUUCAACAAGGCACUGGUCUCCUGCUGGUCUACACUUCGGACGAUCUUCUCCCUCAGCAGGUCGUGCUCGGCCCGGAGCCUCUCAUUUCCCUCCCUUAAAUGUCGGAUGAUGCCGGUAGCCUGUUCAAACGAGGCUUUCACGUCGUCCUGCAACCUCGCCAAGCCAGAGAUCUGAUCCAUCUGGCUAUGGACGAUCGCAUGCAUGCGCCUGUAACAGUCAUCGCCUGCCCGCGAGAAAUUUUCCCAGGCCGCCGCGGCGUAGUGGGACAUCUCUGCUGCAUUCGUGGCGCGGCGGGACAUCUCUGCUGCUUCCGCCGCGCGGCCGGACCAGUCUGCUGCAUCGACGGUGCACCGGGACCUCCGUGCUGCUUCAGCGGCGCGGCGGGACCUUUGUGCUACUACUUCUGUGCGGCGGGACAUGUCGGCUGCUCUCGCAGCGAGGCGGGACAUCUCUCAUGCUUCCACUUCCAUGCUCGCCUCUCCCUGGUGGCAAUCUCUUGACCCAGAACUCACGCUGGCCAUGGAAGACGCAAGGGAAGGAUGCUGAAUGACUUGUUUGUUUUUGUGGAUGAGGAGUUGAGGAGGAAUGUGUAGUCAUCUUGGCAUACUAGUAUUUAUAACCGAGUACUAAUACGCUCCUAUGUGGGAAACAGUUUAGGUUGUGAUCGGUGUGAACAGGUUUGGAAUUCAAUAUAGCGUGGUACUAAUACGCUCCUAAGUGAGAAACCAUUUAGGUUGUGAUCGGUGUGAACAUGUCUGCAAUAUAGCAUGGAGUAAUUUGGAAUGUGAUGAGACGCAAGCUCAAAAUUUAUAAAUACCCGCGUGGCGAGUGAGGGAGUCCUGGACUAGGGGGUGUCCGGAUAGCCGAACUAUCAUCAUCGGCCGGACUCCAAGACUAUAAAGAUACAAGAUUGAAGACUUCGUCCCGUGUCCGGAUGGGACUUUCCUUGGCAUGGAAGGCAAGCUUGGCGAUACGGAUAUGUAGAUCUCCUACUAUUGUAAACCGACUCUGUGUAACCCUAGCCCUCUCCGGUGUCUAUAUAAACCGGAUGGCUUUAGUCCAUAGGACGAACAACAAUCAUACCAUAGGCUAGCUUCUAGGGUUUAGCCUCCUUUAUCUCGUGGUAGAUCUACUCUUGUAAUACCCACAUCAUCAAUAUCAAUCAAGCAUGACGUAGGGUUUUACCUCCAUCAAGAGGGCCCGAACCUGGGUAAAACAUCGUGUCCCUUGUCUCCUGUUACCAUCCGCCUAAACGCACAGUUCGGGACCCCCUACCCGAGAUCCGCCGGUUUUGACACCGACAUUGGUGCUUUCAUUGAGAGUUCCUCUAUGCUGUCGCAAUCAGGAGGGAUGCCUUUUCCCGUCUUUAAAGACGGCGCCGUCAUCAAGGGAGCUUUGGCCACCGGCCAAACUAUCCGGCUAGGCGGUUUUCUUAUGACCGCCUGUUCGGCCGCCGCUCCGACGAUGACCUCUCAGGUCAUCAAAAGCGAUCUUCACAUCAACUCGGAAUUCACCGAGCAGCUAGAUCCGAUGGAGCUCUCCUCCGUAAAUGAGCUCUUGGAUCGCAUCGCCGCCCUGGGAGUCGCUACAGACUAUGAUCAGAUUGGGCUUAAAACCGAUCUGAGAGAAAUUAACUCUCCCCAGGCUACCCACCACGUUGAUGUGGUAGAGGAACAACGCGGCGACUCUUCUUCUAUGUUAAAGACCAGUUAUGUCCGGAUUCCCGAUCCCUCCAUGCCGGAUUCCCGCGGAGGGACGGACGUCAAUCAAGUACUAAACCUAAAGUCGGGCAUCGGACCAGAUUUGUUGGAUAACAUCCAGCAAUCCAAGCUUCCAAAUUCAGAAACUUUUCGGCCUUUGAGCCUCAGAUUGGGCGGGGUUCCGAAUUUAAUUCCGCUUGCCCACCCAAACAUAAGCGAUCUAUCUCAAAUACGACAAGAGCCCGAUGAAACAGUACAUCAUUACUGGGACAGAUUCCUCCUGGUUAUGGACAGGAUAAAGGACUGCCGUGAGGAAAGCGCAAUCUCAAUUUUCUGCAACAAUUGCACGGACAAGGGAAUCAUGAACGCCGUAAGUUACACGCUUCGCCGACCUGGCGACCAUAGUACAAAAAUACUGUGCGAUGGAGAGUGCCUGGAAAACUGAAACCAGGUUUUUGGACAAUCCGGCCCUAAACAUAACCCUAGUUCGAAAUAAAAGGGUGCGUCAUACUCAAGCACCUGGGUCAAAAACCAAAAGGAAAAAACCCCCUAAAGGGCACGGAACCAUACUGGAGGGAUGGCUCAACAGACCCUGUAAAAUCCAUAGUACAGAGGGCGCCACUCCAACACAUAGCCUUCGAGCAUGUUGGAUACUACGGCAGGUGGCCAAAAGUGGCAAAGGUUUUCUAGCCCCGGGUAACCGGCCCAACAGUACCAGUACGGUAUUAACAGUCUUCGAGACUUUCGCAUCAAAUAAUAUGCGGAAACGAACAAUCCGCAGCCUCGCCAAAGUCUACCAAGUAGCAACAACAAAUCCAUGGAGCGACACGGCUAUCACCUUCAAUGCCAGCGACGAACCUAAAUUCCGAACAGCCCGAGCACCAGCCGCAUUAGUCCUCAGUCCGAUAGUGGACGGCUUUCGUCUUACCAAGGUACUCAUGGAUGGCGGCAGCGGAUUAAACCUCAUCUACGAGGAAACCCUCCAAAAAAUGGAAAUCGACUGGAGCCGCAUUGAGCGAAGCAGCACAACCUUUAGAGGAAUAAUCCCUAGUCGGGAAGUAUGCUGCACAGGAAAAAUCACACUAGAUGUAGUGUUCGGCUCACCGGACAAUUACAGGUCCGAGGAGGUCACGCUCCAAGUGGCCCCGUUCGGCAGCGGAUAUCACGCCUUGUUAGGGCGAGAGGCAUUCACAAUUUUCCAAGCUAUACCCCAUUACGGGUACAUGAAGCUUAAAAUGCCCGGGCCCAAUGGAAUCAUCACUCUUGCCAGUGAUCCAGAUAUAGCACUCCGCGCUGAAAAUAAGACAGCCGCACUAGCCCUAGAGGCACUAUCCGAAGCCCUAGCGGCAGAGGAACUCACUGCGCUACGUUCCAUGGUGGAUAGGGACGAUGUGAUACUCGAUAAGAGAUCUAAGUCCACCUCUUUUAAACCAGCACACGAAAUAGUCAAAUUCUAGGUCCAUCCAACGGAGCCCACAAAGACGGCCUCCAUUGGGACACAAUUAAACCCUGGAAAAUUGGGACAUUUUUGCCUGGCACCCUUCAGAUAUGCCAGGAAUCCCACGCAGGCUGGCAGAACACAGCCUAAAUAUCCUAAAAGGAUUCAAGCCAAUCAAACAGGCUCUUCGGCGAUUUUCCGAACCCAAAAGACAGGCAAUGGGAGAGGAGCUAGCCAAACUCUUACAAGCCGGAUUCAUGAGAGAUAUAAAACAUCUGGACUGGCUAGCAAACCUGGUAAUGGUACCAAAAAAGGACAAAUCCUGGCGCCUUUGUGUCGAUUUCAAAGACCUUAACAAGGCAUGUCCAAAGGAUCCUUUCCCCCUCCCCCGCAUCGACCAAAUCAUCGAUGCUACCGCAGGGCACGAUUCAUUGUGCUUCCUUGACGCAUACUCCAGAUACCAUCAAAUCAAGAUGGCGGAAAAAGACCAGGCUGCAACGGCAUUCAUUACUCCAUACGGACCAUUCUGCUUCAACACAAUGCCCUUCGGACUCAAAAACGCCGGCGCAACAUAUCAGCGCAUGAUUCAGACAUGUCUGGCUACCCAGAUAGGCAAAACUGUGGAGGCAUACGUAGACGAUGUGGUCGUUAAGACCAAACACGUCGAAACUCUAGUAGACGAUUUGAGGCUUACAUUCGACAACCUCCGAGCAUAUGACAUUAAGCUCAACCCAGAAAAAUGUGUUUUCAGCGUACCAGCCGGAAAGCUCUUGGGCUUCAUUGUAUCUGGUAGAGGAAUUGAAGCAAACCCAGCCAAGAUCCGAGCUCUGUCACAAUUGGAUAUCCCAAAAGACCUCAAACAAAUACAAAAACUAACUGGAUGCGUGGCGGCUCUAAGCCGCUUCAUCUCCCGUUUGGGAGAAAAGGCACUGCCCCUCUAUCGCCUCCUCCGGCGCACCGAACACUUCGAAUGGACGGAUGCUGCCACGGCCGGACUCGAAGAAAUUAAGGCCAUAUUGGCAACAAAUCUGGUCCUGGCCGCGCCCAGCCUGGGCGAACCGAUGUUAUUAUAUAUCGUAGCAACACAUCAAGUUGUCAGCGCGGUACUCGUCGUCGAACGAGAAACAGACGGGCACAAAUUCCCUCUUCAAAAACCAGUGUACUACGUAUCAACUGUCUUAACUCCAUGCAAGUACCGGUACCCACAUUAUCAAAAGAUAGCAUACGCGGUGUUCAUGGCAUCCCAGAAGCUGCGACACUACUUUCAAGAGUGUUCCAUAACAGUGGCCUCCGAAGUACCUCUCAACGACAUUAUAAACAACUGCGACGCGACGGGCAGGAUUGCAAAAUGGGCCAUUGAGCUCUUACCAUUUGACAUAACCUACAAACCAUGGCGAGCUAUAAAGUCGCAAGUUUUGGCUGACUUCAUCGCCGAAUGGACCGAAGCCGAACUCCCUAAAGAGUACGGCGCAUACUCCAAUUGGAUCAUGCAUUUCGACAGCUCCAAGAUGUUGGCCGGCUUAGGGGCUGGCGUCGUCUUGACGUCCCCCACUCCCCCACCGGAGACACAGUCCAAUAUGUACUUCAAAUAAUGUACACGGACUCCAACAACGCAGCCGAAUACGAGGCCCUUUUACAUGGUCUCCGGAUGGCAAUCUCCAUGGGUAUUCAACGCCUAGAGGUGCGCGGGGAUACAAACCUCGCAAUAUCCCAAGUAAAUGGAGACUUUGACACCAAGGAUCCGAAAAUGGCAGCCUACCAUAAUGCCGUCCUAAAAAUGUCAGCUCGGUUCGAAGGACUCGAAUUCCACCAUAUAGCCCGGGAUAAUAACCAGGCAGCAGACGUGUUGGCACGCAUCGGCGCAAAACGCGACGCCGUCCCUCCAAACAUCUUCUUAGAGCGGCUCUUUAAGCCAUCCGUAUUAUGGGAAGAGGAGUCCGGAAAUAACAACCCGGAACCAACUGCACCACCCAACACGGAACAUUCUGACACAAUCGGUAGCUCAGCCAAUGAAAUAACACCUUCAGCCCACGAAAUAAUGGCAGUAAUUGCCCCGUGGACGGAACCAUUCCUAGCCUACUCAAUUAGGCAGGAACUUCCCGAAGACCAAAAUGAGGCCCGCUGUAUAGUUCGGCGAUCUAAAGCCUACAAGGUCCAUGAGGGAGAACUUUAUAAGAAAAGCACAACCGGAGUCCUUCAAAGGUGUAUCUCCGAAGAGGAAGGGCAAGAUCUCCUAGCUGAAAUCCAUGCCGGACUCGGCGAGCACCACGCCGCAGCCCGGGCCCUUGUAGGCAAGGCCUUCCAUACAGGAUUUUAUUGGCCAACAGCCCGGGCAGAUGCUCAGGACUUAGUCCAACGAUGCGUCGGUUGCCAGCUCUUUGCUAAUCAGAGCCACAUGCCACCCACCGCCCUCAAAACUAUACCCAUCACUUGGCCGUUCGCGGUCUGGGGGCUUGACAUGGUUGGACCCCUUAAAGGGGGAACCCACAAGCAAAAAUACUUAUUGGUCAUGGUGGACAAAUUCACCAAAUGGAUAGAGGCCAAGCCGGUUAAAACGGCAGAAUACGGACCUGUGAUAGACUUCAUAUCCGGGGUAGUGCACCGUUUUGGCAUCCCCCACAGCAUCAUCACUGAUAACGGCACGAAUUUCACGGCCGACGAGGUUAAACUCUGGUGCAAAAACAUGGGCAUCAAGCUCGACUACGCUUUAGUCUAUCACCCUCAAACUAACGGUCAAGUCGAACGAGCAAAUGGUCUAAUCAUGAGCGGCAUUAAACCCAGAUUAGUGCGGUCCCUCACGGAAUCUAGCACGCACUGGGUAGAGGAGCUCGACUCCGUACUUUGGGGGCUGCGGACCACGCCAAACCGCACUACCGGAUUCACACCAUUUUUUAUGGUAUACGGCACAGAGGCAGUUUUGCCCUGCGGUAUAAUUCAUGACUCACCUCGCGUGCGCAUGUACGAAGAAAGAGAAGCCGAGUUGGAUCGACAGGACAGUUUGGACGCCUUAGAGGAGGAGCGCGAUGUGGCAAAAUCCCGUUCCGCAUUCUAUCAGCAGCAGGCUCGAAGAUAUCAAAGCAGAGAAGUACGGGCCAAAACUUACAAUGUUGGCGAGCUAGUUCUACGCCUGCCGGACAAGAAAAAGGACAAACUUAAGCCCAAAUGGGAAGGUCCCUUCAUCAUCGACCAAGUCCUUACCGGCGGUGCAUACCGUCUACGCAACGCAUCUAACAAACGACUCGAGCCGAACCCAUGGAACGCAGCCAGUCUCCGAAGAUUCUACGCCUAGCGCCGGACUCAAAGUCCGUCUCCUUCCUCCGUCCACUUUUCAUAUUUUUUCGCUGUCUUUUGUUUCCCUCCUUUUUCCUCCCUCUUUCAGUAAAAGCCUUUGAGGGCUGACCUGCGCAUUGUUCGCACACACUUGAUGUGCUACUCGCACUCAUUAUACCUGGGGGCUUCUUUAACAGAAGCUUAUUUAUACGGGCUUCAUGCCCAACACAUGUGUCAUACUUCCGCAUGUACCUUUUACUCACCAUUAUAUGCAUCGAUAUGACUUAAGUUUUGGCCAAACUGGGUUGCCUGGCUCCUGUGCUUACCCCUACGUUCCCGAUUGUUCGGCUAGGAGGUAAAGGGAGCACCUCUGCGAUUGUUACUGCUGGGUCAGCCGGAUGUGUACCUCAGACUGGGUGAAGCCGAAGGCUAGCAUUCUUAAGGGAAUAUUCAGUCGGUGACUUGAAAGAUGAUUUAUUACUUAUUUAUUUAUCUGCCCCCAGAUGCUUUUUUCUGCUCUUUUCGCAGUCCGGACAUGCACUUUAGGGCAUGCCUCCCAGGGAAAGGAACCCCUAACGGAACUAUUCUCCCUGGAAGAUGUUUCUUACUAACCAUGUAAUAUAACAUAGCUAGUUGGGCACUUGUCUGAUAAAGCACUUAUGACCCCUAUGCCUGGUCUCCAUGCAUGCCCCGGUUUUUGUAUAACCGUGAGGGUAUUCGAACACACUCCGGACUAUUGGGUCCCGAGGUUGAAGCGAAAAGGUCCGCAAAGACAAACAAUCUACAAUCCGGCUAGAAGGCAUUCUACAUGUCAUUUUAAAUUACAUCGUCAAACUGACUGAUUGUACUCCUCUUCAAUCCCAUCUAACAGGCUAUCUAGUUUACAUUCCCAUUGGGAAUAUUUCGCGGCCAACUCUACUUGGCCGUACAUCAGGCUCACCGGGAUCUCCUUCCCAUCGGGCCCCACAGGUCCGACCUCGGCCAUGUGGUUUGGAUCAGCCUUCGUGUACCGCGUCUUCCCCAUGGCCCAGGCCUCCCUGGCGCCUUGACGGCAGGCCGAUAUCUUCCACAGACGGAAGCGCUGCCGUACUCUCUGAAGCUUCUCAGCAAGCCCUCCAAGACCCUCGGGUAGGGAGACGGAAGGCCAUAAGGCCUGAACGAUGCCGCUCAUCGCCUGCCGGACAUGUUCGUGCAGUUGCAGUAGCUCGGGAAGAAGGUCACUCGUGGAACCAGGCAUUUCCUCCGCCGGACGACCCGUGAGCACACCUACAGACACAUUUCUGUCAAUCGACUUCCUCGCCGAACUCUUCUUUUCAAAAGAGUUUGCUCAAGCACUUACUGUAAAUGCCGCGAUGAAGCCACCGAUUCUCCUUUACGGAGUUAGACAGCUGGACCCGAACAUCUUUUAGUUCUUCGCCCAGCUGGGUGUUGGCAUCUUGGAGUUUGUUUCUCUCCUGCUGCACCCUCAUAAGCACCUUCUCGCCGGCCUUCAGCUGGCGCAAUAGAUGUUGUUUGUCUGGAUCUAGUCCGGCACCCUCUGCAAUAUUAUUGUCAGACUAAACGCACACGCCGCACUUCAUAAACUACUUAUCUUUUCGGAAUAUGUCUUACCGGAGGGGGUCUCUGUGGCUCCCCCGGCGGCGGCUAGUGCAGCCUCAAGUUGGGCCUUGCAUUCUUGAAGCUCCUGGGACAGGUGGGUAUUCUUCUCCGUAAGAUCCUGCAUAACAAAUGAUCCUUAAAUCAGUUAGUUUAACUAUUUUAAGUCUCGAGGGCUACUGGCAUAUAUAACUAUUAUAAUUCCUCACCCGUAUGUCUUUCACAUACUGCUCUGUGGCUCUGGUUAAACCAUCUUGAGCAGCACGGAGGUGCGCGUCUCCCGCAUUAAAGGCAUUCAACACCUCUGGGGAGAAACACGCGUCACAAAGAACUGUCUGACGGCGCCUGUGAUUCAUGGCGCUCUCCACCUCAGACCUGGUGGCGGACAACCUGUCGGCAUCCUCCGUUGGAGGAGCAUCCGGCUCGCGCCUUGCGCUCGCCUCCCCCUCCUGACCAGGUGUUGGAGCCUGGCUGGCGGAGGCUUGGUUGGCAACCUCUCCAUGCACAGUCCGGCGAGCGCCCUUUCUCUUGGAAGAAUUAUGAGCAUUAAUAUACCUCCCAGGAGUCUUUCCCUUAAAGAUAAUGGUGUGCCAUACCUUUGCGACGAUGUUUCGAUUCGCGCCGCACUCCUCUUCUGCCUGCUGGGCCGCACUGACCCUGGUUGGUCAGCCGCCGCGGGCUCGGCUUCCCGCUGUAAAGGCACCUCCUGCGAAGCACCGUUGGUACACGGUGGUAAGAAAUAAGCAUUAAAAAAGUAAUGGUGUUAGGACUUCGGUCAUACUCACCUGGGAAGCCGGAGAUAAACCGAGGUAGUCAGCCGCAAUGGCGACUAGAGCAUUGUCUAUGCUGAGUUGGUGGAACACCCCGUCAAUCAGCUCCACCAUUAUGUCCGGAUCCUCUCCGGAGGCCGGAUCAAGGGCUCUUCCCGGAUCCUCGGGUUGUGGAGUCGGGCUUUGUAUGCCCUCCACAUCCCAGCGCUGUUCCUGCGUCAAAAUCAUAAAGUAAGACACUUAACUUUGAAAGCACAGAUCGGAUAUAUAAACGUCCGCUUACCCAGCUCCGAGGGUUAUUCAUGGAGAAUCCAUUCAAUAGACUCGUGCAGAGGAAGUCCUCCUUCUCCCCCUUGUACAAGCCGGACAAGAUCUUCACCAGAUCGGCGGCCGAUCCCGGCCCCUUGCGGCCAUGACGGGUGGCGUCAUUCUCCCCGUUGAAAUCCCACAUGGGGUGGCCCCUAUAUUGAAGCGGCUGCACCCCUCGCAUAAUGCAUGUGGCCAUGACUCCAAUCAUGGUCAAUCCGGAAUGGGCCAGUAACCUUAUCCGGCCCAUCAGAUAUGGGACGCUCCUAUCAUCUUCCCGAUGAGGGCUCCGCGGGCGCCAACUCAGGUGUUUCUUCAGAGGAGCGUUGCUAAACUCUGGGAGGCCGAUCCAAACUGGAUCCGGCAGCGGGGCGUCUUCCAUAUAGAACCACUCCGAAGGCCAGUCUUCGGACGCCUUCUUCGGGGUACCGGAUAGAUAUCCGGUCCCGGCGAUGCGCCAUAUUUCGGCUCCGCCCACUUGAUAUAUCGACCCCUCGUGAGAACGGGGUACGAGGCAAAACAAUCUCUUCCACAGCGCAAAAUGGGGCUCAAUGCCCAAGAACAGCUCGCAAAGAGCUACAAAGCCCGCGAUGUGCAAGAUGGAGGCAGGUGUGAGGUGGUGAAGUUGGAGUCCAUAGAACUCCAGGAGCCCCCGGAGAAACGGAUGCAUGGGAAAUCCGAGUCCCCUUAUUAGGUAGGGGACGAAGCAUACCCGCUCUCUUUUGGAGGGAUUGGGGACGCUCUCCGCCUGUUUCCCACCCUUGUAGGUGGCCAGUCCGGCUCGAACCGGAAUCAUAAAGGCUGGGGGAAGGUAUCCCUCUGCUUGGAGCGUCACUAACUCGCUAUGCGGGACUGAACAUCUCCUCCAAUCUCCUGGCUGAGGAAUGGGAGCGCGAGAGGAGGAGCCGCGUCGAAUGUCCAUGUUGGAAUGGAUUUUUGUCAGAUGCGCUUCGAUGAGUACUUGCGGAAGGAGGAUGAUGUGGUUCAGAUCUGGAUCCUCGCCUCUCUUAUAGGCAGCUUAUUCACGCAGAAUGUAAAAAUACCCUGGCUUUUCGCAUUCAUACGACACGUGGAAGAGGGCCAUUAUUGGACGUGGAAGCCAAGGAGCACAACAUUUAUAAGGAAACCGGACAGUAUUCGGCAAACACAUGGAAUAUGGAGGAGAACCCGCCUUGCAAACGCCAAAGACAAUAUACGCGCCGGACUCGUCGUCAUUGAAGCCUGGUUCGGGGGCUACUGAGGGAGUCCCGGACUAGGGGGUGUCCGGAUAGCCGAACUAUCAUCAUCGGCCGGACUCCAAGACUAUGAAGAUACAAGAUUGAAGACUUCGUCCCCUGUCCGGAUGGGACUUUCCUUGGCGUGGAAGGCAAGCUUGGCGAUACGGAUAUGUAGAUCUCCUACUAUUGUAAACCGACUUUGUGUAACCCUAGCCCUCUCCGGUGUCUAUAUAAACCGGAUGGCUUUAGCCCAUAGGACGAACAACAAUCAUACCAUAGGCUAGCUUCUUGGGUUUAGCCUCCUUGAUCUCGUGGUAGAUCUACUCUUGUAAUACCCACAUCAUCAAUAUCAAUCAAGCAUGACGUAGGGUUUUACCUCCAUCAAGAGGGCCCGAACCUGGGUAAAACAUCGUGUCCCUUGUCUCCUGUUACCAUCCGCUUAGACGCACAGUUCGGGACCCCCUACCCGAGAUCCGCCGGUUUUGACACCGACAACGAGCUCUAGGCUAGUCCUUUUUUCAGACGCGUUAAACCUAUCUCUCGGGACUUCUCGCACGCACCAUCCUGCCACCCACAAAAACUUGUACUCUGAGUUUAGUAGUACGUUAUACAGGAAGAGAAGAGGUGCAUGCACGCACUCGUCCUCUCACACACACGUCUAUUUUUUCUCGAAAAGGAGGAUGAUGACCCCCGGCCUCUGCAUCUGGGAGUCACACACGCAUCUGUAGCUACGAAUUGUAGUGUUCUCAACCAUCCGAUUGGCUCUAUCAUGGAUGUACAUAUAUACUAAAACAUGUGUAGAUACAUCUAUAUUUUGACAAAUGGAAGGCGUGUAUUAUGGAACGGAGGGAGUGCUUGUCAUCAAAAUCGAUAAAAAGGGAUGUAUCUAGAACUAAAAUACGUCUACAUAUAUCUCCUUUUAUCCAUUUUGAUGACAAGUAGUACUUCUUACCCAAAGGAACUUUAUAUCCAACAGACACAAAAUAUCCGUUCGACUGUUGGAAAUUACUGAUCUGAUGUCGAAGUAAUUGCUGCAUCGCCACCAAAACCCACCAUUUCUUAAGCUAAAGUAGACCAAGGUAAUCCCUAUAUUAGCAUAUUACUAAGAUAAACAGAAGGCACUAUCGAAACAUUUAGGACGUGAGCUUGUCAAUCUGAAUGUGGAGGGACACAAGCUUAGCCCCGGCCAGCAGCUUGGGCAAAACUGUCAAGAAGGUCAGCUCCUGCGCGUCGACGUCGCCGGGAUCCUUGCUGCUUGUCACCUCUAUUUCCACCUCGACGGCGUCGGUCAUGCCUUUGGGCUCCCCCGGCGGGCCGUUCGCCCACAGCUUGGCCCAGUAGUGCGGCAGUGGAGACGCCCCCGCUCUGAUGCAGACGACCAACACGGCGAUAGGCGCGCCGAUGUCGAGCAUGCCGCCGACCAAGAAAAAUGCGUGGCGGUCCUCCUCCGUGAACAGCAAGAGCCGUGGCUCCGAUAGUGGCACUUGCAGCUGGAGCACCUUACUGUACUGGAUCCUGUGCACAUGCAUGGGAUGCGCGUUGCUGAUGUGGUGGUAGAGCGCCGGAGGCGGGCCUUCGUAGCCGCAGACGGGCACGGGGCAUUUGCAGGGCGCGAGCGGACACACGCUCUGGUGAUCGGCGAGCUUGUGGUAAGUGACGUAGAUCCCACAACCUUCGUGCGGGCACUCCACCCUCAGCGACGAAACGACGGUGUCCACCGCCGUGUUCCGCACAUCGAAGCCACCGCCGCACUCGCACUUCUAGCACUGCCGCUGGUUCCCGAGGCGCUCGACGCGGCAGUCCGCGCAGGCCAGGUGCCCUCCCUUGCACUGCAGAAAUCAAUCGAACAUCACAUCAAUCAAGAAACCUGCACCUUGCUCAAUCAGCCGAAUGGACGAGGUGUAUUCGAACCUCAUACAUUGGAGGCGUCAUGGGGCGGAGGCACAAGGGGCAGUGGAGCACAGUGAGGUCCAUCGAGACCUUAGUGAGCUCCCUCGUCGGUUCCUGUUCCGUCUGCAUGAUCUCGCCCUCCUCGUGCACAACCAUCUCUCGCUUGGGCCGGGGCAUUACAAAGCUUUACCAUCACAUAUUUUAUACUCUACGCAUAACUGUCCUCCCGCAUACCAAGGAAGGCAAUAGUUUGAGUUUUCUGGACAAAUUUGCCCCUGCGCAUGAGUAAGCUGCAUAAAUAUCGACAGUAAAUGCGCAUGCAAUGGUUGGCUGGUCCUCCUUCCUUUUCGCUUGAGUUGGCUUCCCAAGUGGUCAAGCCGCAUCCGGCGCUGCACGCGUUUGCCUGUAGCCAUUUUCUACUUUGGAAACUGACGCGAUUAAUGGGGGCAGAACUAAUCGAGCGGGGGCACAGAUGGAAACCAACGCGGACGUGCAGACUAAUCUGAGAAAAAUAAGAAAAAGUUAUACGCAAAGUAAAAGGAAUCGGAGGGAGUACUACUUCAAGGUGCAUUAAAUCAACACAUGCAAGUAUCAAAAGGAGAGUCACGGCAUGCAUGCAUGCAUUAUAAUUAAUGCAUCGGUAACCCUAAAUUAUUGAAAUAUAUCGAGUGCAGUGCUUUGAUGUGUCGCAUCAACUUGUACAUCAACGAGAAGUUUGAUUAUCCUCUCCCUCACGGACUUAACUGCACCUGCCUUUGGCUGUAUGACAGGUUGGCCACACACCUGUCGGGCCCACCUGUCAUACACACAAAGACAGGAGCGUCCCUCCCUCGACCAUGAGCGUGGUGGCUGGCAAGACUAGGAGAAGCUUUCGCUACACACUCUCCCUCCCGCACGCGGUGGACAUGCAGCAGUUCAAUCGGUGUUAGAUGGCCAGAAGCGUACUGUAGUACUCCUCCAGUGCAGUAGUGCACCAUCAUUGUUCGACUUCCCGUAGAGGCGAAGAGCCAAGCGCAGCCCGUACGCUCGUGUGGCAGUUUCAUGUGUAGAGUAGUCUAGAUAGCAUGUACCAUUCCUGUAAGCUUAAAAUCGUUGGGGUCGGCUCCAUGCGAUGUGGCCGUCUCGAAGUUUUUUUUUAAAAAUAGUCUUCUGGCCCUACCUGUCACCCUGGUGAUUGUAGUUUGCACGUUCAUCUAGUCAAGACAGGAAUAUAUAUUUUAGUUUGUUUUUUUCGAAAAGGGGGGACUCCCCGGCCUCUGCAUCAGAACGAUGCAUACGGCCACAUAUAUUUUAAUUUUGUGGUGGGUAAAAGUUAGAGGUUGCGGCAAAUAUAUUGUACACUGCGGGUCUUUCAGCCAAGUUUAGAGGCAAGCAUGUGGGGCCAGUGCUAUGAUGUGUCGCGUCAACUCGUAGAACGAGGAGAAGCUUGAUUUUACUACAUGCCUUCUCCCUCGCCAAUACGCGCUGUUGCUCGCAAAGAAGGACAUGCUUUUGCUUAGUAGUACUUCUACAACAAGCUAUCUGUCCCGCUCGUGGUGGACGGACAUGCAGCAGUGGAUUCGACAAUGUAGAAGCAGUAGUAGUAACAUCAUUGUUCGUCUUCUCGAAGAGGCGAAGAGCCAAGCGCAAACCGAACAUUGCAGUUGUGAACAUUGGAGCAUGCAUAUAGCCAGGCUCUUGCAUGAGACAAAAUUGCUAUGUGAGCCCACUAUUGUAGUACGUACAACUACUUGCUAGUAUAGCCCUAUAACCAGAAAGGAGUAUUUGCCCUUCUAGAGAUUUCAACAAGUGACUAGACUACACCGAGACGGAGUACAUAUGGAGCAAAAUGAGUGAAUCUGCACCGUAAAUAAAUACGUACUAGUUCUAUCGUUUUCCUCUCCGAGGUGCACAAUAUUGAGUAUACUGACUAGUCUCUUUUUGACACACAUUUACGUUUUUUUUGACACAGUACAGACGCAAGCGCUAAUAUACACGCACAUACACUCACCCCUAUGAACGCACACACGCACGGCACUAUCAUCUUGAAAUUUACGAAGUCACCAUAGGCACCUCCUCGUCGACGGGUCCAUAGGUGCUUGAAUGCCAAGGAGGAAGAGGGUAGCGGUUCCCGAGAUGUUGAACGGUCAAUGAUGCAUCCUCAAUUACAUGCAGAGGGAAUUAAUUGGAGAAGCAUACUAGAGCCAGCACGAUGUGAAUGCAACAGAGUUUGGACUCUCAUAUAAUAAAGGCGCCCCACCACUCCAAUCCAUCUACUCCCAAGUCUCUGUGCAACACUGCUCACUCCAAUCCAAGACCAAGUGACCAGAAGCCACAAGCACCUAUGGAGCCGAUGGACGCAAGCGGCAAUCGGCUGUGCCAAAUCAUCCAAGGCGCCGGCCCUCGGCCCCGCACCGCGAAGCGUUUCCAGACGGUGCUGGCGACCACAGGCAUCGUAGCCCUCGCCGACGCCGGCUUCGCCUCUCGCAUGGACGACAUGAUGGUCAACUCCAUCCGCAAGUUCACCGCCGUCAAGAAGCGCGCGGACGACCUUGCCGUACUGCUCCAGCCCGCGCGCCCAGGCUCCUCAUUGCCUGCCACCCUCAUCGGCCUACAUGGUGACAAACUCUUUCAAGCCCUGGUGGCCCUUGAGGUGCCAGAGGUCGCGAGGAAGAAUGUGCACCUUGAGACCGCGCUCGCCGCGCAGCGCCUCGCCAUGCAAGAAACCGUCGACCUGCACAUCCACGUCUACGAGGAAAUCAUCUACAUAGGCCACUACAAGGCAAGCGAGGACAUAAAGAUGUUGGCCUUCUUCCAGCGGCUGGGAUCUUUGGACCUGGCCACGAAAGCCGCUGCUACUUAGGCGCCGUUUGAUGGCCGGCGCCCUGAGUCGAGGAGGUGGACAUCGUCGAUGGAUGCAUCUCUUCUUCUUGCCUCCUGUAACCAGCACUGCAUCGCCUCGUGGUCUUAAUGUUUUAUUAGUAUAGUACUCCCUCUGUUCCAAAUAUAAGUCUUUCUAAAGAUUACAGCAAGUGACUACUACAUACGGAGCAAAAUGAGUGAAUCUACACUCUAAACUAUGGCUUCAUACAUCUGUAUGAUGUAUUCCAUUUGAACUAGUAUCUAAAAAGGCUUAUAUUUAUGAACGGAGGGAGUAUAUGGCAUUUUUUAUUCCAGUCGGAACAUUUUCACUGUGAGGUGGGGCCGCAGUUGAGCAAACCCACCCCACCCACCGGGCGUCGGCCGAGUUUAGAAUUAGAAGAGAGAAACGAGGGAGGAGAGCUAGCUGUAGCACGGACGGUGUUGUCAGAUGGGACUCGUGUUUAUAGAAUAGGAGUAUACUGAGCACUCGUGCCAUUUUUUUGAGGGAAAAAUUAGUCGUAUGUCUAGUACCACUAGUUGGGUGCGUGCGACCUAUAGCUGUCAUCAUUUAGGUCUCCUUUUCGAACCGCGGCUAUGCUUCACAGUACAUAUUUUUUCACGCAUUUAUCCUCCUAUAUGUACUCCUAGGCUAUUUCCACGUGCUCCCAUUCGCCGACAUGUGGGACAUAAAGCAUCUGGGUCGUAGUGCAUGCACGACUCGGAGCAUAUGCCGGGGUACUUUACAUUUCAGACCUCACGAAUUACAUGCAAACCCCCCGCAGAAGAAUAAAUAAAUCAAUGAAUUACUACUCCCUCCGUCUAGGUGAGUAAGUCAUCUUAGGUUGUGCACCGUGACCAAGGAGGAGGGAAAACGAGAGAACUUAAUAUUCAUUUGCUAAUUAAUAGUAUUGCAUGCAAUGAACUAACCACUACAUGUCGUGUUUGGUAGUCUCAAGUCAUUAAAAGCAUGCACACCCCACAUCUCUUAUUGGUUGAUAUGUCAAGAAACAAGAAACGAUGUAGAAUUUAAUGCACCGCGCCUAAGUGUUUUGGGAUUAUUUGGUUUUCGUAAGAUGACUUACACACCUAGACGGAGGGAGUACAUGAAACCGGAUUAUUUUCGUGGAAACCGGAGCACGUUCAUUAAAUUUUGGACAUAACACAUUUAUAAAAAAUGGCCGGACCUAAACCAGUCUAAGGGCCUAUUUGAUUUUUCCCAAAAAAAGGGCCUCUUUGAUUCGUAGGAUACUGAAAACACAGGAAUGGGGAAAGUAUGAUGGCGAUGAACCGAGACGAGGAGAACUCUAACUCAGUUAGAGGUUAGACUUAGAUUCUAACCCUGAACUAACUCUAAACCAAAGAGGUGUAUGGAUGGCAGGGUUAGAUUGACAAUAAAUGCUCUAUCUCAAUCAUUUGACUACUUUGGACCCUAUUUUUAGUCAGACUAAAAUAAGUCCCUAGGAUCCAAGCACCCUCUUGGUGUGGCCGGCUCUUCUGUGGCCUCCUCCCGCUCACAAUUGACAUAAACGAACCAUCUAUACAAAUCAAGCAUGCAAAACAUGAUAAUUUUUACUUUGUCCAUACAAAUGAGAUAUCCCACUUAAACAUACAAGUCGUCAAUCAAGCUUCACAAAAUAAAAAAACAC